CAGCCACUUCGUCGAGGACUGGGUCAGGAUCGGGUUCCCGGCCAAGAAGAAGGUGCAGACCGAGUGCGCCUCCAUGCCUUUCGAUGACCAAUGCGCCGUCUUGGAAAAGGUUCGUACGACCACAUGAUACUUUGUGAUGACUUGGCCACUGCUGGAAUACUCGAACUAUAUAUUCUGCUGACUUGCUGUGCUGACGAAGAAAAUAUUCUGGGAUUUCUACAGGAGGCCGUGAACGUGUCCCUCGAGAACCUCAAGACCUACCCGUUCGUCAAGGAAGGCGUCGCCAACGGAACCCUCAAGCUCGUGGGCGGCCACUACGACUUCGUCUCCGGCAAGUUCGACACAUGGGAGCUCUAAGUCCUCUCAUCCGGUUAACUCCUAUACAUACAACGUAUACUUAUACAUACAGAUAUGGAGAUGACCCUACAGAUCGAUCCAUUGAUGUGGAUGCGAUGCCAUGGAGUAUAUGUACUCGCUAUUUUCCAGUACUGCAUGCCGGAUGGCUCGAUGUGAAUUUGUAAUAAGCAAUAGAAGUUUCUACCAUUUUCUGACGUGGGGUUGUACUUGUGAUGCGUAAUUUGGUCAUCUUGUGACCAAAAGACAUCAACUAUAUAAUUAUAAUACCAUUUUCAUCAAGACUCUGUAUUUGUGUUACAUUGAGGGGUUUUAUAGGUACUCCAUAAAGACAGAUGAUAGUACCAUUCAAAUCUAACCCUCCAUUUAAUAGAAUAUAUUAGACAUUAUAUUCUUCCCUGCCGCAACCGUCUCACGAUUGGAACGGAAUAUAUUCAACAUUUAUUCUUCAAAUAUAAGUGCCGGGUAACUAUCCUCUUGACUGCCAUUUGACACUUGAUUAAACUCAUGGUACUACGUAUGAUUUGUAUAUUGGAACUUGUACUUGGAGCGAAAUGGAGAUUAGUUUGGUUGGAUGAUGAUCCAUUGAAAAUGUCACUAUGAUUUUAAAAAAGUUAGACCCUUUUUCUAGAAGUAUCCCCUCGAAGUCUUAGCUUUGUCCGAAAUCAAACUUUUACAGAGCUUAUAGAAAUAUCUACUAAUUUUUACAACUUUAAAUUAGUUAUAUUAAAUUGAUCAUGAUAUAUAUUUUCAUAGUAUAAUUAUUUGAUAAUAUAGAUGUUGAUGAAUUUUAUAAACUUGGUCAAAUUUUAAGAAAUUUGAUUUAAGAUAAAGUUAGAAUUUCUUACAUUUAGGAACGGAGUACCUUUAUGGCUCGAUGUGAAUUUGUAAUAAGAAAUACAAGUUCUGCCGCGGAGUUGUACUUGUGAUGCCUAAUUUGGUGUCUUGUGACCAAAAGACAUCAGCUAUAUAAUUAUAAUACCAUUUUCAUCAAGACUUUGUAUUUGUAUUACAUUGAGGGGUUUUAAAGGUACUCCAUAAUGACAAAUGAGAGUACCAUUCAAAUCUAACCCUCCAUUUAAUAGAGUAUAUUAGACAUUAUAUUCUUCCCGGCCGCAACCGUCUCACGAUUGGAACGGAAUAGAUUCAACAUUUAUUCUUCAAAUAUAAGUGCUGGGUAACUAUCCUCUUGACUGCCAUUUGACACCUGAUUAAACUCAUGGUUUGCAUGUUGGAACUUGUACUUGGAGCGAAACGGAGAUUAGUUUGGUUGGAUGAUGAUCCAUUGAAAAUGUCACUUUGAUUUAAAAAAUUAGACCCUUUCUUCUAGAAGUAUCCCCUUGAAGUCUUAGCUUUGUCUUAAAUCAAACUUUUACUGAGUUUAUAGAAACAUGUACUAAUUUUUACAACUUUAAAUUAGUUAUAUUAAAUUCAUCAUGAUAUAUAUUUUCACAGCAUAAUUAUUUGAUAAUAUAGAUUUUGAUGAAUUUUAUAAUCUUGGUCAAAUUUUAAGAAAUUUGAUUAUACAGUUAGAAUUUCAAACAUUUUUAGGAACGGAGGUAUACAUGAUUAAUUAGUGAACCUACGAGACUUUUGUUCUUUCUUGCUAUCAUUUUAUAUCUUGCAAUGAGGCUUAUUUGACCAACACAUGCACCCAAAUUGCAAAACAUUUAGUCCCUCUGUCCAACAAAAGAUGUUUCAAAUUUGUUAAAAUUUGGAUGUAUUUAAAGAUCACUCAGUGUAUAGAUGCAUUCAAAUUUAGUCAAAGUUGAGACAUUCUUUGUUGGAUGGAGGAAGUAUUUCUUUUUGAGUAACCGGCGGAGUCGCUGUCCUCCAAUUAGAAGAAAUAGAGUAAGUUACAUAUAUUUGCAAAUGGCCAAAAAUUUGGGGCAGGACUGGGCCCCACACAAUGGUUGGAAACUAGAUAGUUGUGCACGCGAAUGUCCCCUAAAGCCUGGCCAACCACCUUGCGUAGGUUUGCUUUGCGCCAUUGCAGCAUCGAAACUUAAUUUGACAGUUCCUCUCCUUCCAAUACAUUGGGGCCUUCAGUUCGAUGGGGUUUCUAGAUUUUCCCUCCUAAGAAAAAAAAAAGGCUAAGUUGGGGAGAGCUACUUGGCGGACCUCCGUUGGGAAGUAUUUUGGCGAUCAAUUCCGACCAGCCCAAUUUGGUUGUUGGGACCCAAAAAAAUCUCCUACGUUUUCUUUUCAUUCUCUCUACUUUUUUUUUCUGAACUUCUAAUUUUGUAAACUAUUUUUUUUUGAACUUCCGAUUUUCUAAACUUUUUUUCUGAACUUCCAAUUUUCAGAAAUUUGGAAGAGCUUUUUAGUUUUCCGUGAACUUUCAAUUUUUUUGACAACACUGGCUUUCUCGAUCUAGUGGAAAUGUGGAAUCACCUCGUGAGACCCGGCCCGCUGGAUGUGCAUUACUAGCUAGAUGAGGGACGAUGCGAAUCAGGCGAGAGGUGCAGGCGGAUUGGAUGAAGCAAUGGAAAAUCGAACUGUCAACAUCUAAGGGAUCAGCGUAGAGAGUAGAGACCGAGGUCUGCCAUGGGCCAUGGCAUGGAGCUUCGCUGGGACUGGGAGAGGGGCAGAGGGAUGGAUCAGUUUUCUCACCACUACAAAAAAUAUGCUGAUUUAUGACCCCCCAUUUUCGUCGCAAAAUCGUCAUGGUUUUCAGUUUAUGACGCUCUUGUGACGAAAGUCAGAUCGUCAAAAAGUGAUCGUCGCUAACGACGCUUUAUGACAUUUUUACUGAAAUGGUCCUAAAGAAUUAUGACCAAAUGGGAUCGUCAUACAAUUUAUGACCAAAUUUUUGGUCACUAGCCAUCCUACCCGGACACGUAGGAUCCGACGUGGCGGUCUGACAUGGCAAACUCUAUGAUGAAAUUAUAUGGUCAUAACACAAAAUAAGCCCAGUCCAUGCAUGUCUUCUGUCUGGGCCAAGCCCAAUAGUUUAGCCCUUUAAUUUUUUUUCUUUAAUGGGCCAAGUCCAACAAUUCAGGCAUGUACGUUUUUGUUAUUAAUUUCUUUUAGGCCAAUUCUUUUCUAAUUUCCGGUCGGGUUCUUACGCCGUCCAGACGUUUUGCGGACCAAAUAUUAUUUUUUUCAUUCUCGACCUUUUAUUCGAUUCCAGUUUUUUAGCCAUCAACUCGUAAGGUCCAGUACUAUGUUCAGCUAAAAAUUGCUAAGAGCCAACUCUCCAGUGACAAAAUAAUACGACCAGAUUUUCAGAUGAACGCACAAAUUCAUUCCUCUUACAUCACACCAGAACAUAUUUCUAGCAGCAACAGAGCGCAAGGCAAGUCUUCAAUCUAAAUCUUCGACGACAGCAUCCAGAACUUGUGUUCGACUAUAUCAACUAAGGCUUCUAUAUCAUCCUACAACAUAGGAUAAGAUAAUUAGUAAACAUUUUGAUUUCAAUCAGCCAAAAAAUGCAACAUCUUGAAAUACCAUCAAUGGUACACCACAACAGUAGAUUAACCACAAUAUCAAAGUCUAUAGAAGCAUGGAAAGAAAAUAAACAUGCAUGCUAAUUAAGUUAGAUCAAUACUUCAAUAGCAUCCAGAUGCAACUAUUUGAUUGGCUUUGACAUGCAGCAGCUAAUAACGUCGUCAAUUACUUACUAAUAAUCAGCUAUUUGAUGCAAACCUAGAACAGAGAUAUUUGGUUGUCUUAAUUAUAGACAAAACUACUAGGCCAGCCUACUUUUGCACACCCCUAAGUACAUAAUUUGUGAUAAACAAAACUAGCAACAGCAUAGUUGCUCCUUAGAAAGCCAUUCCGCAUUCCAUGCUUAUACAAAGGAACUAUUCCACAACAUGGUAAAAAGAAUUACAGCAUGCAAUAUUUAGAUAUAGUUGAACAACAAUUAUAUAUCAACUGCAGAACCUACACAAUAAUAACCAGCCAAUAAAAUGCCAUUAAAUUAGAAUUAUAAUUUUGUACUGCGCAAAGAUGAAUGCUACAAACUAAUGAUAAUAUCAAAUAGAAGCAUUAAGUUGAGUUCAAUAGUGAAUGAAAAUUAACUAUCCAUCAACAAUGAAACUGCGGCUAAGAUGUUCAAAAUCAACCAUGAAGUGUUCGCAAUGGCGAAGAUCAAGAUAAUAUGGUGUUUACUCUUUGUCAGUUCAGAACAGCUAAAACAAUUCUGCAGGAUAUUUCUCGACUGACUAUCUAUAUAGCUUUGGAGAUUUGCAUACAUAGUGACUUGGAUCAGAUUCCCUGCUAAGGUUUAGGUUUGCAAAUAUUCAGAUAACUAGCGGUACAUGCAUAAACAAUCAUGCUAUACAAUAUAGUCCGCGUCUAGUUAGGUGCAUGUGUUGAAAAACGAACAUAAGGGAACAACAUUAUCACGAAUCAUUUUUAUCAGCUUCUGUAUGAAGGAAAAUAGUACGUGUGCCCAAAGGAAAGAAAAGGGAUAGAAGGAAACGCAGGAGGGGCAAAGGAGAGCGAACCGCCUUGCAGAAGUUGACGAUGUCGACCUCCAGAAGCGGGCGCUGGCGGGCGAGGAUGGAGGCAGUGGCGUCGACCCAGUUUGCUACACCGUCUUAGAUGUGGGUGUACCGCUCGGCGGAGACGCCGCCGUCUCCAACGAGUACGAGCGCCCUGCCGGAGAAGCCGACGUCUCGCACUUGUGCGCGCCGCUCGUCGCAGAAGCCGCCACCUCUCAUGUGUGCGCUCCGCUCGACGGAGACGCCUCCGACUUGGACGAGUGGGCGACGCUCGCCGGAGAUGCGCAGGACGGCAGAUCCAGCGGCGUCGAGGCCUGGCGGAUGAGAGAGAGGGCUCGGAUCUGAGGAGGGGAAAAGGGUGGAAUGAAUAGCGCGGUGGAAGAUGGAGGGUAAUCGAGCGAGCGGAUCUGGGUGAAGGGGGAGGCCUGGCGGCGGGUGAGGGAGAGAAGAUGGGAGGAAGGGAGCAGGAGUUAGGUUUAGGUUACAACUCGGUACUCUUCAAAUAGAGACAGGAUUUGGGCCGAGGAGAUGUAUGGCCGACCCAAAACAAUAAAAGAGAAUAUCAGUUGGCCCACCCGGCGACCUGGCCCAUGUCCCACGGGAGCCAACCCAGGCGAGCACUCCUGUCCUGCUGUACGGUGAAAAGAUCGAUCGAUGGCUUUAUAGCGAUAAAAAGAACUUGCGAACGUAAAUAUCACAAACACUUGAUCUUUCUGGCGGCAAUCCUCUUGCACUGCUCUGGAACAAGUCCUCUGUUCGACUACCCAACGGAGCGACUUGUUUUUCCUUCGGUAGAAUAUAUAUGUUCUACUUGUAGUUGGUGGUUGCUAGGUCCCACUGGUCAGGCGGGUGUCGAGACGGAGAGUUGAGGUAGGCCCCACUAGUCAGUCAUGUUGGGGUCUGUGUUUGGGUCCCACUAGUUAGGCGGGUGGUGGAGUUGACGUGGGCCCCACUAGUCAGUUAGGAUGGGGCCCAUGUGUCUCGGUCCCACUAGUGAUCAGGUGGACGCGGGCCCCGCUCGUCACGCGGUGUGGAGGGUCCAUGUGUCUGGGUCCCACUGAUCAGGCGGGUGCGGGUCCCACUUGUCAGGCCGCGGGGAGGAGGUCCCACUUGCCAAACGGUGGGGGAGGUUCAUGUGUGUGGCUGUGUCAUCAGGUCGGUGGGAGCCGACUGUUCAAAUGGGGCCCACAUGUCAGAAUUGAUAUUGACACCUAGGCACGACACGCUGGCAAAAUUGCUGAGAUGGACCUCUCUCAAUGACACCUAGACAGAUGCGUAGGCAAAAUUGAUGAGGUGGCCAUUCAAUUAUAUCAAUGUCAUUUUUUGACCAUCUAAAAUGGUCAUAAUGAAUUAAAAAUAACAUUGUAAACUGCACUAGUUAUUUAUGACCAUUUUGUGCAAUGUAAUUAUGACCUUUUAGAUUGAAAUGGUCAUAAAUAUUUAGGAUCUAGAGUCUCUUAAACACUCUAUGACCAUCUGGUCCAAAAUGGUCAUAAAUUUUUGACCAUUCGAAUCAUCGUCACUAAAAAAAGUUCAUAAAUCAACACAUUUCUUGUAGUGCACGAAUAAAAAAACGAAGUGGCCCAAAAGGAGAAACUGACGGUGGGAUGAAACCAGGAGUACUGGUGUGAACUGAGCCUAUCUCAGGUGGUCUGGUUCCUUGUGGUGGAACCAGCCCAUCCAGGUUCAAGUUCUAGACUUGACAUGGGUGUCACAUUUCCUGGAUUAUUCCAAGAUUUAACCGGCUCUAUUCUUUCAGUGGUAGGUGACGUACCCGUCAACGGCGAGGCGCCAGCGGUAACUUCGUCAAUCUCUCAGGCUCUACCGGCCCAGUCUUUCGGAAAUGCUCAUAGGGGUAGGGUGUGCGUGUGUGCAUUCAUAGGGAUGAGUGUACGCCCGUGUUGUGAGCGUCUGCGUUUGUACUGCGUUUCUGAAAAAAAAAAAAAACAGAAGUACCGAUGGGAGCAAACCUACGGAGCAGGCAAGCCCCAUCCGUUUCUGAAAACCUUCAAUAAUCCAUAUGUUGAUCCUGGAAUUGCGCUACCCGUUCAAAUCCGAAGAAGGAAAUUUUAGUAACUUCCCUUCGUAAUGCCCUCCGAAUUUAUGUGCGACCCCUUCGUAUUGUUGCAACAAAUUCGGAUAGGCAUCCGCUUCUGGUACAACAAAUUCGGAGAUAGAAUCCACGUCACCGAGGCCGAGGGUUUUAGUUUCAACUCUGCCCAAUGUAUAGGCUCUGGUACCAAACGAAAAUCGUUCCCGGCGGCUGGUCCAGGCAGCGAACCUAGGGCGCCGUUCCGCGGAGAAGAUCGAAGAUGGGUGGCUGCUGCUGCUGCUGCUUCCCCGCCUCCGCUAAACCCAGGAGAGAGAACCCAAUGCACCCGGCCACGGAGUCACUCAUCCAGCGGAAUCCGGAUCACACGGUUCCACAUCAUCAUCCGCCCCAGGAGGUCAAAAACACUGGCAAGGUCGGACUCUCUUUUCUUAUCGUUCUUGGUUCUUGGAAUCUGCAUGCCUGGUGCACUAUGAGGUUCUCGUGGUUGCCCGUGAUCUUACAAUCGUCGCUUGCAGGGCACGAAGGCUGCCGUACGGUUGAAGACCGGGUUCGAGCGUUUUAAGACGACUAUCUACGAGUAUGUUCUGACGCCCAAAGAAUAUGUGUUUCUGACUCUUGGCAGAACUACUUGUACUUAGCUGAAUUUGCUGUUGUAUGUAUGGUCGUGGUUGGUACUUGGCAGCAAGAAUCUGAAGCUGUUUGAGCCGCUCAAGACCAGCCAGACCCCCAAGGUACGUGCCACCUCUCUGCUCUGUUGUUCAAACUUCAAAGUGGACAGUGUGUACUCUCGUGGGAUACUGUCUUUACUUAGCAUUCUGGUAGUUCUGUAACUUGUGAAGCUUGUGAGCAAAUUUGGAACGUAUGGUAUGUGUAAAUAUUCUGGUAGGGUAUGCUUCACCUUCAUGAUUCACUUUCGGGCUACCUACGCUAUGAAUUCGGGUCAAAUUCAGGAAACCUGAGGGGGGCAGCUUUGUCGCCCAUACAUGGGCAAUUGAGCGAUUGCUGUACACGAGAUAACAAGAGAAGUCUGAUACCUGCUGAUGCGCUGCUGACAUAUGUUAAAGGCCUGGUUGCCUACAGCACUUUGCUUAAUUUCGUUCUUGCUUGCAGUACAUGGUGUUCGCAUGCUCUGACUCGCGCGUGUGCCCAACAUUAACCCUCGGCCUGCAGCCAGGAGAGGCGUUCACUGUCCGAAAUAUUGCGGGCAUGGUUCCUGCCUACCAAGAGGUUCUUGCUUAUAUAAAUCAUUUCACCUUUUAUUUUCAUGGACAAGUUAGUCACCUUGGAUUGUGCAGCGCGUUUGAGAUGUAAACAACUAAGCUGUACAUUUGCAUGUUGAUUGCAGAAAAGGCACUGCAGCAUUGGGUCAGCCAUUGAGUUUGCCGUGGUUGUCCUCAAGGUCACUUCUUCCUUGUGUUUUUUUAAUGUCUUUUCAAACAGAAUUUUGUUUAAGAAUACAACUGGAUGUACUAUUUAUGCGCUCUCUCAUUAGGCAAUAAAAAUUGUACGCUCCCUCAUAGCAAUAUUGGCAUGGUACCAUCCUUAAGUAUCAUGACGAUAGUUUAUAAAAUUCAUCAUCUGCCAAAUGGUUUUAAUAUGUAAUAACAGUAAUAUCUCAUAUCAUAGUUUGUCGUGUUCGAGAAAAAAGAUCAUAGUUUGUCAUUUCGAAUUGGUAUGGUUUACAGACCUCCGUCAGAUAUGUUGCAGUCACCUAUGAAUGCGGAAACAGAUUUACUGGAUAAUUUUGGCAAUAAUACUUUAAAAUGACCUAACCUUGCACUGCUACUAAUGAUCAAAGUUGAAUUCGUAUACUUUCCAUGAAACCACAAGUUCAUAAGUAUCGAUUUGGCAGGUUGAGUGCAUUGUUGUGAUGGGUCAUAGCCGCUGUGCUGGAAUCAAGGAACUCCUCUCUCUGAAAGCAGACAGACCUCACGCCUAGUAAGUAAAUGUCUCCCGUGCUUGUUAGUAUGUACUGAAAUCAAACAUAUCUGUUGGACUCGAUCCUAACGUAUCCAGUGCUACCAUGGCUGGGGACGCCGCCGUGCUCCCAAGCCUCGGCAUCUUACAAAAACGUUGAGAAAAAAUCAUGAAACUUUUUGUGGAUUGACACAAGAUGUAUCUGUAAACAUGUAAGAUUUCAACUCCAAAUUCAGUUCAGAGAAGCAAGAAAGGGAAAUUAAAUUCUGCGAUGAAUAGUAUUUUUGUUAGCUGUGUCUUUCCUUUACCAUUGCAAAAUUUACUCGUCAAUUUAUUGAUUUUUUGUGACCUUUCUGUCACGCUGCUGUGGCUUGUGGCCAUGGUAGCACUAGAUAUUUUUGUCUCCUGUAAAACGAGCCCCGGAUGGCUUCAGCAAUAAGUUGUCGUGUCAUUCGUUUUUAUUGAUCUUCAUUAUUUGUCUGGUUACUUAGUCACUUCAUUGAGGAUUGGGUCAAGGUCGGCAUGAACGCCAAGAGGAAGGUCCUGAGAGAAAACCGGUUGUUGCCUUUCGACGACCAAUGCACCGUGCUGGAAAAGGUGUGGUUGCUUAAACAUUUUGCUGAAUUUCCUGUUUAAGCAGAUUGGCUUGCAUCUUGUAAAUAUCCACUGUACAAUUCAUUUGUAGUUGGCUUCACAACCAGAUAAACGCUCAUUUUAGCAUUUGUGAAUUGUGUGCAGGAGGCCGUCAAUGAGUCCCUUGCAAAUCUCAAAUCCUACCCGUUCGUCAAGGAUAGAUUGCGCAAGGGCACACUGAGUCUGCUUGGUGCCCGCUACGACUUCGUGAACGUCAGCUUGGAGACGUGGAAUCCCUGAAGUCAAAUGGUGCAGAAAUGGUUAGCUAAGGGCUAAUUGCACAUACCUGUGCGUCCAGUGGAAUUCUUGUUUACCGCCCGAGGUUCUGACGCCUUACGCCUACCUCCCAAAUUGCGAUGUAUGCGCUUUUUGGUGUAAAUCAUGUUGCCUUCCCCUGGCUUGGUGUUUCUGUGUGACUGUGUCGAUGAAUUGCACAAAAUAAUACACCAGAGCUAUAAUUAUGCUAAAUAUCGAGGACAGAAGCAGGGCAAUGGUCUGGGCUAAAUAAAGCAGGUGACAUGUGGCAUGCAGAUUUUACGGCUUAAUUAGAGGCGCCUCGUCCCAAAGAAGAGUUUUUUUCCCUCCCUUUGCCUCUCCUUCUGGCCGGCCGCACGCUCUUCCCCCCGAGUUCCCUCCAUGCCUCCCGUUCCUUUCCUCCCAAUGCCGCCAACGAACCUCGCCGUCAGCCCCACGACCACCACUGCACACCUUGCUGGUUCCACACGCCGGCGUCCCCGCCACCGGGGCGCGAUGGUAUCCGCCUCGUGCUGCCGCGUCGUGGGCCUUGGCUCCCUCCUUGCCGCGGCCGCGGCCACCACCGCGUUCCUCACCUUCUCCCUCCCGUCGUCCAACGGCGUGUCCACCGCCAAGCUCACCGUAGCAGUUUCCGUCAACGCGAGCUCCACGCCGCCGCCGCCGCCGCCUCCUCCUCCUCCAACAUUAGCUACGGCGUUACCUCCCCCGCCACCGCCGCCGCCGCCCGUGGCGAGGCCUCGAAAACGAGAGGUGCGCGCGUAUAUAUAGCACGACCGUGCGAGUUGGUGAUUUGAAACUAAGCUAUGCUCUUUAUUUUUAACUUUGUGUGCUGGUGACCAGCCUUCGUAUGGGAGGAUGACACCUGAGGAGGCGCUGCGGUACGCCAAGAAGGAGAUAAUGGCCGCCGAGCCGGUAGUUAACGACCCCGACCUGUACGCGCCUCUCUUCAGGAACGUCUCACAGUUCAAGAGGUAAUUGACGUAUAGCAAGCAGAUGAUACGCUAGCUUGAUCGCGCAUGGAUAGUUCGUACACACAUUGCUUCCUUGCCAAUGCUAUAUACAAGUAGUCAUCCUGUACAUUUUGUCACAAACGGUUCGGUACAAUCAUACACGAUAAAUUUCACCAUAAACAUAGUAUUUUGCGGAAAUUUACAUCAUAUAUCAAUUGUUUUAACGAUAUAAGUUGGUGCUCGACAAAGGUCCCACAGGACCUAGGCUACUAACCGUUCAUCUGGCUUAUUUUUGAAAAUAUUCUAGAGUGAAUUUCACUUUUUACCUCCUUUUUAAUCAUUUUUACACUGUUUAUCUCAUUUUAAGAUCUCUGCCACAUUUCCCCCUCUAUUUGUACAAAUAUGACAUGUUUUACCCAUUUUAAAAAAUUACGCUCAUUCUGUCAAGUAGGGCCCCCUGUUCGGAGUGACGACGUGACAUGUUCACGUGGGAAGCGUAAUUUUCAAGGCGUUUUCUCCUAGAUGCAUUUUCUGCCGAAACAAUAAUCAAUAUGAUUGUUACUGAAAUAUUGAGUGAAUUCUCAUAUAUAUUUGCAAUUUGUACGUAAAUUGCAUGCGCUCACAAGCGUAAAUUAAGUCACAAGUCUAACGUUACAUUGUAAUGGAAGUAUUGAACGUGUGACUAAAGCAGUAGAAAAGUCAUGAAAAUAUUAGGAAUAAUUGUCAAAUCAAUUUUUGCAGCAUUUUUUUUCCUGCAAAUCUAUCCAUCAAACACAAUAAUAAACAAGAUCAAUUGUCAUCUAAACCAUGAAGGCGAAGUAACUAUAUCUUUUCUCAACAAUUCUUGAGAAUCGGUAGUAAUCUAACGAAAUGAUCAAUGAAAUAGCAGGCGGUGGUGUUGUAUGAAAUGUUGCCGAUAAUAUAAAAAAGGUGCAUUCAAGCAGCGGGGACUGGAGAAAAAUGGAAGGCAAGAGUUGUUAGAGGAUGGUCUAAAUAUCUGCAAAGAAUUUAGGCGGCCACAAAAUAGCAUAGCAGUGUGUAUUUUUAGAUAAUUGAAAUUUUAAAAUAAUUUAGGCAGCCACAAAAUAGCAAAAGCGAAAAUAAAUAGACUAGGGAAGGGCCCGCUAAAUCCCUUUUAAUCAAGUAGUUGCAGGUUGGGUUUGCACCGUCCGUUUUCAACCCUAUUGCAGUUUGCAGAAACGCGCAGAAAAGCCUUCUUUUUCUCGAGAGGAAGUGCAAUGCUAGUCAUGUUUUAUUUGUUUGUUCUUUUGAAAUCACAGAAUUCACAUACUUCUAUAGUACGUUUGUUGCAAUGUAGCAUCGACAUUUUACACUUUUCGUCCACAUGAUUGUACGUACCAAUUCAGUGCCGUGACUAAACGCAUCAUAAUUGUAGCGAACUGUGAUCAUCCAGGAGCUAUGAACUGAUGGAACGGAUACUCAAAGUUUACAUUUACCAGGACGGCCGGAGACCCAUCUUCCACACUCCUCCUCUCAGCGGCAUCUACGCGUCCGAGGGCUGGUUCAUGAAGCUUCUCAAGGAGAGCAGGCGGUUCGUCGUCGCCGACGGGGCCAAGGCGCACCUCUUCUACCUGCCUUACAGCUCGCAGCACCUCAGACUCUCGCUGUACGUGCCAGACUCCCAUAACCUGCGCCCACUGGCCGUCUACCUGAGAGAUUUCGUCCAAGGCCUCGCCGCCAAGUACCCUUUCUGGAACCGCAACAGAGGGGCCGAUCACUUCCUUGUCGCCUGCCAUGAUUGGGUAAGGUAUUAAGUUCAAUCCAAUCAAUCUUGCAUGAAUCGUGAAGAUUGAAUUCUGAGAGAAAAUUUUACUACUUGCAGGGACCUUACACGACCACAGCGCAUCGCGACCUGCGCAGGAACAGCAUCAAGGCGCUGUGCAACGCCGACAGCUCGGAGCGGAUCUUCUCCCCGGGAAAGGACGUCUCCCUCCCGGAGACAACCAUCAGGACGCCGAAGCGGCCACUCCGGUACGUCGGCGGGCUUCCCGUCUCCCGGCGGCGCAUCCUCGCCUUCUUCGCCGGCAACGUGCACGGCAGGGUCAGGCCGGUCCUCCUCAAGCACUGGGGCGACGGGCGCGACGACGACAUGAGAGUGUACGGGCCCUUACCCAACCGGGUGUCCCGGCAGAUGAGCUACAUCCAGCACAUGAAGAACAGCAGGUUCUGCCUGUGCCCCAUGGGGCACGAGGUGAACAGCCCCAGGAUCGUGGAGGCGCUCUACUACGAGUGCGUGCCGGUGGUCAUCGCCGACAACUUCGUGCUGCCCUUCAGCGACGUGCUCGACUGGACCGCCUUCUCCGUGGUGGUCGCCGAGAAGGACAUACCGGACCUCAAGAAGAUACUCCAGGGGAUCUCGCUCAGGAGGUACGUGGCCAUGCAUGACUGUGUCAAGAGGCUGCAGAGGCACUUCUUGUGGCACGCCAGGCCCCUUAGGUAUGAUCUGUUCCACAUGAUUCUGCACUCCAUUUGGCUCAGUAGAGUGAACCAUGUUGAACUUCUGGAGUAAAUAUAUAUCAGAUGAUCCAUGUGUGUAAGGUAUUUGUGUGAAUUGUAUAGAUGCAUGGCCUCAGGCCCUCUGUAUACAGUGUACAGUGAAUUUAGCAUAGUGAUGUUGCGUCACGAGGUACAAAUUUAUGAUCAACCUGUCAAAGAUCCAAACUUCAAAAUUUCUGCAAACUGAUACCGUACGUGUAUAAACGAUUGGUAUCUCAGGCACAAACUGUUUGCCGGCUCACUACGUAGUGCUCUAAUAUCACGCACAAAUGACACAUUUGGCUGUCGCGCGAGUUUCAUACAAGUUGAAAAUUGGGGCCAAGCGGUAAAAAACUAUGGUUGCAAAUUGAUUUUUGGUCAGGCAUGGUGCGGAGCCGCCACGCUGGCUUAGUCCAUGCCCAUGGCAUGUACGAAUUACACAGAAGCCCCUUUGAAUCGAAUACCUCUGUUCCCCUCUCAUGUACUGAAUCCCUAACCCUAAUCUCUUCGACCGUGCUGUGACAGAGAAUGAGGGGGGCCAAAACCGAAGGACUAAAAUGCAAAACAGAAAAACCUGUCUCAGCUCCAGCGUGGCAGCCACGUGACCCAUUUCGGAUUUAAAUGACACUAAUCACCUGAUUAACAACUAAGUGUACCAUUUGGUCCCAAUUUUCAACUUGUUGUAUGAAACUGUUCGCGCGACGCAAGUUGUUGUACAUAUGGCCUAUUAUGCCUGUUCAAUUUUUCUUUUGAUAAUUAAAGAUGUUCCAGUACCAAAUAUAUAGGGUUCAAUGAAGGUGGAUGAUAGGCGGCAUGCCAGCAACUUACCAUCCCAGUAGAAAUAAAAGGAAAACUAGAAUACAAGUAAAAAUAUAUUUUUAAUAGAAAAUAUAGGAAAAAGAAAAACAAAAUCAGAAAAGUUAACUAAACCUUUGGCCAUAACAUGCACAAUAAAAUGUGUUCAAAAUGGUAAAGCAUGAUCACAAAUUAAUUAUAAAUGCAACUAAUCAAAAGAAAUUACAGUACCUAAAUGAUUGAUUAGAUUGGGAUAAUUCAUGUUAAUCACCUAAUCUCUCCAUCAUAUCCAAUGUCCAUGAAUAUUUCUAAACACUUGAUGCUUUACUAAUGUUAAAAUUUCCCCCUUAUAUUUUAAAAUUUCCGAAUUUAUAUUUUAUUUUUAUCAUGGUUGUCUCAGAUUCCUCUUUUUCUUCUUCUUUGAUUUAAGCUGUUGAGUGCUGACGUGCAUGUAUAAAGCAAUGGAUUCAACAGUUCGAGGUUAAGAAACAUCUCUGGUUUCAGAGUGUGGUGUUCAUUUCUGGGGUAAUGACAUACAGUAUGCAGCGACAAGUACUGAAAUAUAAAGCACCAAGGAAGGACGUCGUCUCUGUGGCAAUUCUACAAUACUUUCUCUUCAGAUAUGAUUUCCUGACGAGUCAGAGGUCAGAACCAAGAACAACGUAUAAAUCGUAUACUUGUGGCUAAGUAGUAGCAAUAUGAACUGCAAAAUUUACAUGACGAACAAGAACACCGGUAGUACGUAGUAACCCAGCAACAUUCCGAAAGGGCCGGGAAUGAACCCCAUCAGGUUCAGACCAUACUGAAGAGAUUAGCCGUGGAGAUGAGCGAGCUUGCGGCAAGCGUGAGGAAGCCCAGGAAGGAGAGCCACACCGCGCUGCUGAUCUUCUUGUUGAAGGCAUCCUGGCCGAACCUCGACACCCACAGAUCGUUGCGCGACGCGGCCGCCGACGACGCCGACAUCAGGAGAUACGCCAACACCUGCGGUAGAUAGAAUCCAGCGAAAUGAGACGUGAACCCUAUUACUACCAAAUUAUCAAUUGCUAACUCUAUUUUUCAGCUUCAGCAUGUACGGUGCUACUUGACUUGCCUGAUCAAGGAACAGGCUGACGUAGUAGCUUGACAUGCUCCGGUAAAUGAACCUCGGCCAGACAAGACGGCGGAUUUCACCGCCGGCUUGCGCAAUUGAGUAGACGCAGACGAUCACGUUGACCCCGAUGGCGUACCUGCAUGCAUUCGAGAACAAGAGAAAUUAUUUUUCUCCCCAAACGUCGAACUCUGUUUUUUUCUUUCGAAACGGAUACUCUGUUUACAUAAGACAGGAUUCUGAAUUCAGGGUUUUGGAUAGCAGUUGUACUGGCUACUGAACCUAUACCAGGAAUGGGUGCUGUUUCAGUUUUAGGACAAGCCGCAGUCUCAUUUGAACAGCAAUUGGCACGCACAAAUUUUGGUGAAAAAAAAUCCGUUGUUUCUGUGCAUGGGUCCCCUGUCUACAAAAUAAAAAGAACAAGUCUUAAGCAACGUUGUCUAUGCUAAAUUCCCCGGUGAAUUCUACAUUCGGGGCGAGGAAUGCUGGUGGUGCUUUGUUAAUGUUGUUGCGCGUUGAUGUGACGUGUUUGUAAUUGCACGAACGCUAAUCACAGGAGGGGAAACAAACAAGCAGAGUACCGACGGCGCCACAAAACAAACGAAGAAACAAACAGUUGACCCGACAAAAAUUCUAUGCAAUAAUCAGAAAACAAUUAGUACGAACUAAACAGCGAAACGCUUAAUCAAAGAAUUCAUUCCCACAGCUGAAAGAUCAAUCCUACCUUGUAAAAAUUGAAAAUUCCAAAAAUAAUACUAACUGCUAGUAUGAUACAGUAAGUACCAACUCCCUAUAAUAAACCGUCAGAACCUGGACAUAUCCGAAUAUGGAGUAGAAUUUGUUUUUCCAAAAAAAAUGAAAGAAAAAACAUGUAAGCAAGCAAUUGAUCGCCAACCUGUAUUGCACGUAGCGGCCGUAGAAGUCGCCGUCCCAGCCAGACGUCCGGGCGCUCAGCAUGACAGCGAAGGACGCCAGGCUGAGCACCGCCGUGGCCACCCGCAGCCCCGCCGACAGCGGCCUCCUCUCCCCGACCGCGGCCACCGCGGCCACGUCGGCCGGCACCCCUCUGCCGUCGCCUCUAUGCUCUGCCGCCGCUCCCGGCGCGUGGGAGCGCUGGCUGUCGAGCCGGGCCUUGCCGAGCUGCAGUGGCGACGUGAUGGCCUCCUCGUCCGGGUCGAACGGCACCGAGAUCGGCGUGGCCGGCGGCGGCUGCUUCCAUGCCUCCGCGCGCUUCGGCGUGCUCUGGGCGCUCUUGCCGUUGCCGUUCGCGGCUGGAGCAGGGGUCAGCGGCGACGGCGGCGUCACCGAUGGCGAGGGAGACUUAUUGGCGAGAGACCCUUGCGACGGCGUCCGGACGAGGCCGGUCGCGAGGCGGAGCUGCGGGCGGCGGCCCGGUGCCGGGGCCGGGCCUUCUUCGCCGUUGCCGGUGGGGGAGUCCGGCGGGGGCAGGCGCUGCUGCUGCUGCUGCGAAGGGAAGCGCACGGGAGACAGGGGCGGGCUCUUGGUGGCGGAUGCUCGCCCGUUGGCUUCUUCUUGCUGCCAUGGAGGCGUCUCUUCCCGCGCCUCGUCCAGCGAUGGCGUCGGCGUGUGGUAGUCCUCGCCCGGCGUGGAAGGCGAUGACUCCGGAGGCGGCGUCCGCGGCUCGGGCACGGGCACGGGGACGGGGACGGGCGGCGGCGGCCUCACCGGCGGCCGGGCACGGGGAGUCUCGGCCAUGUGUGCGCGUGCGACCGAUGCGCGUGGGCGGAUCAAUAGGAGGGAUUGGUUCAGUUCGACUUGGGGUGUUAAGUAUCGGAGGUUACGUGUUGGCUGCCUUCUCGGUUUAUUUGCUUCCUUCCUUCCCUCCUUCUUUCCUUUUGUUUUCCGUUUCUUCCUUUUCCUAGUAUCAUGCAUACUUGCCGACCUGUUCGUUGGCUUUUGCUGUUCUGCAAAACCGGCUUUGCAGUUCUCUUUAUCUCCUGAAAUCCCUCUUGAUUCAAUUUAGUUUUAUUUAAUUAAACUGUUAAGAUAAAGAUAGUGAGUAAUAGUUUCAUUUAUUUAGCAUGGCCGUACACAUAAUAGUUUUGCAUGGGUUCCCAGACGAGGGACAAAGCGGCCAUCUGAAGUUCGAAACUGUGUCACAAGUAUUUGAAUGCCUUUUCGUUUUCUUUCCGUUUUUCCAGAAAACGACAAGAGCGCCGGGACUCAGAACUCGGAAGGGAAAUGCUAUUUCGAAGUUGCAAACAAUUCUGAUUUUUUUUUAUGUGUGUAUAUAUAUAGAUGUGAUGCAAUCUGCAUAUGUGUACUCCCUCCGAUGCAUAAAAAUUGUCGUACAUUUUGUAGUAAGUUAGUACAGAUUUUGUACUCUCUCUAUAUAAAUCCACGUCACUUAUUUCAGUACGGAAGGAGUACGAAGUGGGCGAUACUUUUUAGGACACUUUUUAUGGAUCGGAGGGAGUAAAAUUUUGUGACUAAAUAACAUGCGAGCCAAGGAGAAAGAAAAAUAUAAAUUUGUGAAUAUUUUGCUUUUACCUUAUAGGCCACAAAUUAAUGAACAUAUUUCGCAAUGAAACUUUACAAGUAUAUAAUGCACAUCUAUAUAUACAUGUAUAUUGUUUUAUAGAAUUUUUGGUACCACAAAAUACUGGAUUUCAGGCUGCUUUUUUUAGGAACGUGAGAGAGAAAAGUGUAUACACAUGUGAAUUACUCCCAAAAUACUGGAGUAGUACUCUUCGUAUUCCAUUAGAGGUUUGUCGGUUGUUAUCCAGACCCCAAAGAGAGGCAACAUGUUAAUAGGGGAGGAAAUUGCAUGGCCGGUCCUUAAACUUGGCAGGUAUAUUUAGUUUCAUCCAUUAACUUGCAAACUUGAAAAACAAGACCUUAAACUUGACACGCCGAUUCAUUUUAGUCCAAAUCGACGAAUUCAGGCUAAAUUCGGCCAUGAUGGCGGCUAGUGGACAUGGUUGGCUCGGGCGGGUUCUUUUCGCAAAUUUUUGGGCGAUGAAAUUUUCCAUUUUAACCCUUUGGAAGAGUUCGGUCUCGAACCCGUGGUCUAGCCCUCGCUUGGAGGAAGUGACAACUGUGGUAUUUUCACAAAAUACCCUUCCUCAUCCUCUGACUAUCCUCCCUGUGGCCACGAUAUGCUCUCAUCCUCUAGGGCCAAGACAUGAUAGAGUCGCUCCCUCACUAGUGAACCCACUUCGGCCCUACAUCGGCGACGUUCUCGUGAUCGGUGGCGGCCAAGGGAACGGGGGAGGCAAUGGGGGCGGUGGUGUUGACUGCUAUACGAUGAAGUAGCUGGCGGCGCUUCUGAACCAUCGGUUCAAGACUUUGAAAGAUUUGGCUUUGUGGACCGGGUACGAGACCUAACUCUUCAUGGGUUUAAACGGAAUACUCCAUCGCCUGAAAAUUUGCAAAAAGAACCCCUUAUGCCAGCCAUGUCUACGUUAAUCAUGAAUUAAUCAUGAAUUCGUUGAUUUGGACUAAAAUGAACCAAUUUGCCAAGUUUAAGAUCAAGUUUUCAAAGUUUGCAAGUUAAUGGAUGAAACUGAACAUACAUGCCAAGUUUGAGGAUCUGGCAUGCAAUUUCCUCUUAAUAGGGCCGUAAUAAGCUUGCUUAUGCUAUCGCACAGUCCGCGGAGCAUUUCUUGAAGGUACAUCGUCCGUUGAAUCUCCAUAUUUCAUCCAAACCACACUUUGUAAUGAACUUGUUGUGAAUUAAUCAAUGAAGUGUCGCAUCCAUAAAAAAUAAAUUAACUUCUUGUGUCGAAAAUUACCUAUUGUUCUCCCUCUAAAUGUUUCUCUGAACAUAGAGAAGGUGCUGUUCCUAGUAUGACGGUCCAUGGUCAGCUUGUAUGCGCUCGCGUCUCAUGUCUGCUCCAGUGAAAUCGGUCACUACCAUCGCUGCAGAAUACAUCGACACUCACUGCCAAGGAAGAGGGGAGGAAAAACAAAAGCCGAAAAAGGACAAUGGCACACGACCAGUCGGAAAAUGGUUAAUUAGUUAACAUCAUAAAAAAAACUGGAAAAAACCUUCAUUUCUUUUUUUUAAGAAAUAUUCAUUUAUCUACGUUCAUGCAAGGUGACAAACUGAGUCUCCCUUGUGAUGCAAGUUAACUAAUUGGAUUUUUCGGUUAAUUAACUGGAUUUGGAUCUAAUAGGCCUUGACAGAGCGCGUGCUUAUUCAACACACUUGGCUUGGCUGGCAUGAUAGUAAAUUAUUAAUAUGAGUUGUUGUCCUAAUUGGCAUGUCAUACUCCUUGGUAGCCGGUAGGCAGCCGGGGACUGUCUGACAGAUAUAAAUUGGAGGUCAAUAAUAACUCGGUAUGAUUGUUUGCUGGUCUGCCGCUUGAUUUGUGUUUGAUAGGAUACAAGUAACAAGCAAGGUGGGGUCCGGGGGUUGUCUAGAAAAGUGGACACGACCGAGAUCCGUCUUAUCAUAAUUUUUGUGGGCUUGUGACGAUAAUGCAACCACGUAAUGAACGAGAAUAGUUGUCAGUUCUCUUAUUGCCUUGGCAUAUACGUUAUGGAGGUUGAAAACUACAUGGAUCCGUCGAGAAACUGAUAUGUAUUGAAGUUCAAUUGAAUAAACAUGAAGUGGAUAAAAUUAAUCGCUGAUAAAUGCUAGUGCACUGUUAGGAACUCUUAUGCUUUUUGUUUGUUGUUGCUACCUCAACCACAAGGUCCAAUACUCGAAUUGUUAGUCACCGUCAGAGUUUCCAGGAACAAAUACUCACCUACGGACUAGCGUGGGAGGAAAUAUAUGGACGGAGUACGGGAGUAGGCUCCCCGAAUCAGAAUUUAGUAGAGGGUGUUCCAGACGGGGCCUCGUGAAAAGGUCGGGCUAGGUAAUAUCCAAGGUGGAAGAAAAGAAUUAAUCCCAAGUGUGGAGUGUGGACUUGACAACAGAAUGUUACGGCCUAGCCAUGAAGGCUCCGCAGCAAAUGUCGCUGUACUAAACCCUGUUUUUUCUUCCAGAAACUGCUACUGAAUCCAACCAGCGCAUCUCUAAUACGAGUAAUUCAUUUAUGCUAGUUUGUGAGCUACAAUCUUCAUAUCAUCAACAACAAUAUACAAGACCAAUACUGGAAGAUUGAGAGAACGUAAUUUGCUCUCUCACUCUAUUUUGAAGCUUGUACAUGAUUUUCAGUUAAUUUACAUAUGACUUUGCUCUCGCUACUCAUUUAAUCUAUUUUAUAUCAUAUAAAAUCCUGCAUUUACCAUCAACUAUCUGAAGAUGCCAUCAAACCUGACUCAAAUACCCAUUAAAAAGUGAACGAAGACCUUUUAGAAAGUCACAGGAUUCGUCUUCUGUUUUCUCUUUUUUCUGGGAUGUCCAAAUCUAAGCGAGCUUCUGCUAAAGCAGGGAGCAGGUGUAGGCGUGUAACCUGCGUAUACCAAUUUGGCAGCAGAUUAGUGCUAAAGGCGCCCAAUAGGUGCGGUUCAAUGGAAUUACUUUUGCAAAGCACUUUGAUUGGUGGGGCUUGUAGAUCGCUUUGCUCUUUUGUUUCUUUUUCUCAUUAGGCUGGUCAGGUGGUGGCAUGGCAUGCGCACCUUAAUGGUUAAGGUAUCCCGAGCAAGGCAAACAUGUAGGCCUUAGUUGUCUUUCUGUCAUUCCUGCACGUCACGCUGAACCAAGAUCAGCAAUGGGUAGAUUCGAGUCUUUUGGAACUAUGCUAAAUGCCCAGAUGUCACGCGCUCAAGUCUCGUCUUUAUUUGAUACCUAGCCCUCCUUGCAUCAAAGUGGAAAAAACAAAAAUACAAACUGUUCGUGCCAACUUGCCAUCCAAAUAUAGACGCCAUUCGGGAUUUUUUUUUACAGUCGUCAGAUUGGCUCAGGGAUAUCAUGACUUCAGGUUGGCUCAGGGAGAUCAUGACUUCAGGUUGGCAGCGGAGCUGUAUGACUAUCCUGAUUACAUGCAUAUUACUACCUUGUCUUCUUUGUCAAGCUGUUCUCCAAGACCUGUUUUUACUAAUGACUGUACUAGUGUACUCCAAUAUGUAGCAUCACAAGGCAACCUGAAAUUUGUCGGGUACACGGAGCAGCGGCAGCUGAUAGUCCCCAGGCUCUCCUAGCUGCCCGCAGGCAGCCAUCUGAUCAUCCCCUCUGCUUAGCCGAACCAUUACUGUAAGGCCAGAUUGGAUUAAAAUGUUACGGAACUCGAUAAUUUUCUCAUCUGGUGUGGGCUUGAAUUGGGACCCACUGUGGGGGUUGAAAGAGAUGAGGUUGAUCUUGCAGGAGAUACCAUGAACCAGCUCUGUAAGCCUCUUCGCAUCGUCCAUGCUGUGAGCAUAGUAAAUCCAAAAAAAUGUUGAGAGUGCAAGGGGUAACUUAUUACCGUAAGAGCUUUAUAGAGUUACUACCGAAUAGAAGGUUUAAUUUGCUUAUGAGAUUAGUUACAACACCAAUGGCAACUACAGUCUAUAUUCCUUAGAUUGUCAUUUGGGCAAAUACAGUCUAUAUUCCUUAAGACUGUCAUUUGGGCAACUACAGUCUAUAUCUCCGUCCACAAAUAAGUGGAUGUUUAGCUUUAAAAUUUGUCCAUGAAAGAGUGUAUUUCUCUCUUUCCAAAGAACUUUAAAGUAAAAAAAAAAUGAUUCUCUCUCAUCACACGGAAAUCAAAUCCAAUAACAUUUCUACAUGCACUACUUAGCUCAUUAGAGGUGGGGGAAUGAAAGAUAUGGUGGUUGGCACCUUCACAAUGCACUUUCUACCCCCACUCCAUAAUUUGUCUUAAAAUUCCUAUAUGUCCACUUAUUUGUGGACGGAGGGAGUGUGUAUGAAGCAAUUUGAAAAAUGACUUAUUCUGGAUAAAAAUAGCAAAACAGCCUUUUGCAAAUGUUAAGUAGUGUAUUCAUAUCUCAAGUAGAAAAUAGCACUGUAUGUCAUCUCUUUUAAGAAACUAGCCCCAUAUUUGUGCAUUUGUACGGACUAAAAAAUACACUACAUGCUUAAAGAAAAUUGUACGUACUAUCAUUUAUUGUAUCAGAUCAAAUAAUAAAUAUCCAUUCUUGUCUUAGUGGUUUGUGGCAAAUCAAUAGCUCGUGCGGUCCGAAGGUGAUGGACAGCCACCAGCAAUUGAGAUCUUUAUAGGAGUAAAGAAAUCAACAAGAUGACAACAACCAGAAACUCUUGGUUAAUCCAGAUUACUGACCUGUCAUUCACUUCAGCAAGCAUAACAUAUUCAAAUAGCACUAUGGACUUUCUUCUCAAACGAAGCUCCUCCCUUAAAGUGCCAAGAAGCAAGUUAAGAUUGUACUUUCUGUUAAUGGGCAUUAUCCAGUUUCUAACCUGGAAGGGAAAGUUUAGUGCACGGAACAGCAAAUAAUGCCAAACCAUUUCACGACAAUGAAAUUACCAAAUUUUCACCUCAUCAGUUGUUGCAUUAAGACUCACGGCCAGAUCGCACUUGGAUUCAUGGAGGAAGCGUUUUAUCUGUGGAACAAGACCACUUGUGGAGACAGUAACCUUGCGAGGACUAAACUGAAGGCCCUGCUCAUCAACCAUUAUAGCUGAUGCUUUUAUUACAUUGUCUACAUUGUGCAAUGGCUCACCCAUGCCCUGUACAAAUUAGAGAUUCAUGAAAGAUUUUGUGGAAAAGGUGAUAGAAUCUUAUCGACAAAUCCUACAGCACUGAUGCUAUACAACUAUACAAAUAGACAGAAAUGCAUACCGAGUCUUUGCAUCACAUUGUUAUCACUAGACUAAUUAAUGCAGAACUCCCAAAGGACCAAAACUACGAUAAAGGAAACCAUAAAAUAAGGCCUAACUCAACAGUAGUGAAUACUGAUGCCACUGCAUAUGGAUGCAGGCAGAAGAAGGGUAAUGCUAUCAGAAAACAGUGCUAAGUGAAACAAUAUAUUUACGAAGAGUGGCAUGCAAAAGCAAGAUACAUGGAUUUAAGAUAAAUAAAUUACAAUUAAUAUAGCUAGUCAUGUUAGUUAGCAUGAAGAGAAUGCUUACCAUAAAUACAACAUUUGUAAUGGAUCCAAAUUCAUCUGAAAAUAGCUUACGAGCAAACACAGCCUGCUCAACUAUCUCAGCUGUAGACAAAUGCUUUCUCAAACCCAUCCUUCAGUGACCAAAAGAAAAAUAUAAAUCAUUAUGGAAAAACCAUAGAAAACAAUGCUAGUCAAAGAAUGUAUACAGACCUCCCAGUGAAGCAAAACUGACAAUUCAUGGCACAGCCCACUUGACUAGAAACACAGACCGUUGUCCUACCCCUGGCGUUAGGAAUGACAACUGUUUCAAUCACCGAGGCGUUCUCAAGAGAGAACAGUAUCUGUAACAUCCUGUGUUCCAAAAUCAAUCAUAUCCUCAUAACAUUACAGAAGAUAGCAGUGACACUGAAAGAGCUACCUUUCUUGUUCCAUCGGACGCAGUAAUAAUGUCUUUCACAGUUAAUGCCUUGAGAUCAGCAAGCUCGCAUAUCAUUUUCCUCAAGUCCUUAUUCAAGCCUGCACAGGAUCAGAGGAACAAAACAAAUGAAAAAUAUUGUAGCAAAGAAAAGAAAUAUGAGCAAAUUGCAAAUUUCAUGUAAUUAAACGUGCAAAGUUAGAGAAAAUUUUACUCGCACAGUUAAAGGAAUAGAAAAGGUUGAUAGUAGAAUACCCUAUGCAAUGCUUUUCUUCUUACUGAAAUGGCAAUGACAUCUUCAAAGUAUGCAUGUCAUCGGUUUGCAGCUGUUGAAUGGCCACAGUUUUUUCUUCAGUUUUUUUUUUUUUUUGCAUACUAUAGCAAGAGGUGAUGCAUAUGGUAUGUAUGAUGGUUGCUCUUUAUGAGGGCAGCAAGGUGGUAAUGAAAUGAACAUGGUGUAGACAUGAUCACAGAUGACUCGUAAUUUUUUCACAGGUGAACAUGUUCUCUGUCAAAUCCAAACAAGCUACUCCCUCUGCAUCUUUUCACAAUGCAGAAUUUGUUUCAUCAAGUCAAGCCUUUGAUCAACACUACAUAAUAUGUGGUUCAUGGAUACAAAAUCACAAUCAUUAGUAAGUAUUUUGGAAUAAGAAUGUAAUGAUAUCAAUUUUAUGUCCCAUAAAGUGCAAACUAAAGAUGUAACUUUUGGUCAAAGCUUUGUCUUAACAAAACAAAUUACAUCCUACAAAAAGAAAUGGAGGGAGUAAUAUCUUAUGUCAAUCCUUGAUAAUUAAUUGCAUACAUAUCAAACUAUUAAUCUAGACCUCUGAGAAAAAAACUUACAAAAAACAAAUCCACACAACACUAACUAUAACCUAAAUAUGGCUAGAAGGUGGGUACUGCACAAGUAAAGUAUACCUGGAUCUAUGCUUUCCGUGCCUUUUUUCUGUAAACUAUUUUUUUCCUUAAGGAUGAGUAGUAAUAAUCAAAUACUAGUUGAUAGUGAUGGUGAUCAAAAACUAGUGAACCUAAAAUCUUUUGCGGAUAAUGAACUUGUUGAUUUUGAACUUUAGUGAUAAGUUUCAUCUUGUAUGAAGUACUGUGUGCAGUCGCUUUGGUUCUCAAGAAAUUAUUAGAGACAAGCGAUGUGCCUUUGAUGUUUGUCUUGAGAAACCGUUUCUCAUGCAUUGGAAAAAAAAAGAAAGAAAGUGCAGAUAGGAUGGAUAUCCUCACAAGGCAUAGCCCUUCAAAAUGAUAUUUUUCAAGAAGAUUUCUUACGAUUGUCUAAUUUAAGAUUUUGCAUCAAGGAACGUUAGAAGGACUGAAAGAGCCAAGUUUCAAGUACAAAAUAGACCAGCGGUUACAAGAAAAUUGUAGUACCAGUAUGUCAAUUAAAUAAUGUUCUUGGUUUCAUAAGCUGUUUUUCUUAAACCGCGGCAAAAUUCGGAUUUCACAACAGGCCACUAAUUUCUCAGUUACAGCGCUGCAUGUGUCAAAAAUAUUUGAUUGAGGAAAACAAAACUGCAACCUACCAGCCAGCUCGUCGUGACAAUGAGCCCAGACGUUGUUCCCGUAGAGGCAUUUCCACAGCAUCAUAGCCUGCCCCGGUCGAAAUCCCUGUGACUGAACCCAUUUCUGGGAAAAGCCCGUGGAAAAAUCAGCUCACAGACAAGCGCGGACCAAUAAUUGACGAACGAAUUACAACACUUCAAGGUUAAGAGAGAGCUGUUACCUCCAGUUCCGGGUAAUCCAUUCCCUUGAGCAUGACCCUGGAGCCAGGUUCGCAGCGGACGACAGCCGAGGGUCGUCGGAGGGCGGAGAAGAGGCGCCGCGUCGGAGGAGAGGCAGAGUGGACGCGGAGAGAGGAGGCGCCCCAUCUGAGGAGAGGGCCGAGAGGAGGCGCCGCCAUCGGAACUCCGGGCUGGUCCACAGUACCGCGGCCGUCCGCGGUUGGGACUUUUUCAGAGUGGCUGGAUAGAGUAACCUCGUUAAGUCGUAAACAAUAAGUGGACUGGAUUGCUCCGUUGUUUGGGCUUUUUGCUAGGAAGCAGCCCAAGAUGGAACCUGAAUUCUAGUUUUGAAAACCGGACCGGACCGCCGGUCGGAAAAAACCGUACCCGGACGCCGUACUGGUCUGUUAAGACCUCGGGACCGCUCGGGCAGGCGAACCGGGAAAACCAGGACGAACCGGCCGGUUUGUGUCUAAACCCGCGAACCAGGCGGCUCAAUUGCUAUCCAAGCGUGGAUCGAACACGCGACUUCCCACUCCAACGGGGAUGAACCUCCCAGCCAGUUAGGCUACCCUUUGUUCUAUACUAUUGUCGGAAAAGACCCUUUUUAUUAAGGAAAAACGGUUGGGCCUCCAUUUCAACUGGGUUGUGCUGCCAGUUGGGCUGGGCCAGUUCUGGCCCUUCUAGCACUUCUUGUAAAUGUGAAAAUAUGGUUAAAAAAACAAAAAAAUGAGACAUGAAUUUUGCAUUACACUACAUUUUUUUUCCUUUUAUUGCAGCAUUUAUGACAAAAAUAUAUUAUUUAUUGUCUUAAAAAACCACACCGGUUCAACUGGUGAACCAGCGGGUUCGACCGAAAGAACCUGAACCAGGAGCCUCGCCGGUUCGAUCAUCUGUCCGGUUUUCAAAACUAGGACCUGAAUAGGAGUACGGAGUCCCUGGUUGUAGGUAUCUGAUCGAUUUGGUUUCUCAAAGUGUAUGCUGAAUUUAACCUAAAGGUUUGUGAGGAGAUAAAUUGAUUUAUAUUACUCCCUCCGUCCAACAAAAGAUGUCUCAAGUUUAUCAAAAUUUGAAUGUAUUUUGUGUCAAACUUAAGACAUCCUUUAUUGGACGGAGGGAGUAUGAAAAAGCUUACAUUUUGAAACAGCAUUUUGGAGUACUUAUUUUUAGUUGGUAUCUGAUACCACAAUGUAGGUAAUUAAUUAUAGUUUUUUACUUGCAUAAAACCCGAAUCUGCCAUGCUGGUAGUCAAAGGGACUCUUUGUUUUAACAGUUGGUCAAAGAGACCCACUAUAUCCCACAUCAAAAUACGUAUCUCAUGCUCCCUCCGUUACAUAAAAAUUGGCACGUUUUUAAACUAGUUCAAAACCGUGUCUAUCUUUAUGGAACGAAGUGAGUACAUCAAGUUAACAGAGGAUACAUGACAGAUUAGACACAUUAUUUUGAGGUUUCGAAGUACGGAGAUUAAAUUGCACCUACAGAUCAUGUUCAACGAACAUAAAUGAAAUUCAAGAAGUUGUAGAGGGGAGGGGAGGGGAAAUAUUUGGGAAGCUCUGUGGCGGGAAAGGGAGAAGAAGACGGUGAUCUCGCAGGAUGUAAACCGAUAUGAAUUCCGCACCCCCGCGCGGAACAAAUUUUGCUCGUCCGUUACGGGUUUCACUCUUGAGUAGAAACUCAUCCGUUACAAGCUCAAGAAAAGGUAGGAAAAAGGAAAGGAAACUCAUAUGAGGCCACGACGCGAGUCCUCCUCCUCAGUCACUUGCCCCGUGCCUGCCUACUUCCAUGCUCGCGCACGAACACGAGCCACCUCUGCCUCGCCAUUCGCCAGCGCCCCCCCCCCCCCCCCCCUCCCCAGUCCCCCCUGUAGCAUAGCCACCACCAGUGCUCCUCGCCGCGGCAGCUACACCACCACCUGAGGCCUUCCUCGCCGAUCGCCGCAACCUCGCCUAGCCUCCGACCCCCUCCCGUGAGGCUCCGAGCAUGAGGUUUCCCAGCGCGGGCGGCGGCGGGAGCGGGGACGCGGGGUUCGUGCGGGCGGACCAGAUCGACCUCAAGAGCCUCGACGAGCAGCUGGAGCGCCACCUCAGCCGCCACGAGCGGACCGAGCCACCCCCGCCGCAGCCCGGGAGCCGCCGCGGCGAGUCCACGAGGCCAGGGGACGCGCAGCCGGCCCCGGCGCAGCAGCCGCGCCGGCGCCGGGAGGACUGGGAGGUUGACCCCGCCAAGCUCGUCAUCAAAGGCGUCAUCGCCCGCGGCACCUUCGGCACCGUCCACCGCGGCGUCUACGAUGGCCAGGACGUCGCCGGUAUCGUACCAUCUCUACUUCACAUAUACGUGUCCACUGCCUCCCUGUUUCAGUGUCCGUUAGCUGCUCGAUGAAAUUACCCUGCUAUUUCGUGCUGGCAGCAUCAGAUGCUUCUCCUUUCCGGUCGAUUAUUCGUUUUGCGAGUUCUUAGGAAACGUUGCUGUUUUGUUUUUCGUCCAUGUGUUCGAUCUUCUGGGCCUAGGACGCAAUGGUGAGUAGAAUGGAUUGAUCGAUCGAUGUCAAUGCCAUUUACUUUCUUCCGAGUUAUUUUCGCGGGUCGUGUCACCGGUGGUUUCCUUGUCAGCAAAUUGCUAAAGUUGAUGCCUCUGCUUUCCUGGAUUCCAUGGUGUAUUCCGUGACUUCGGGUAGAUAAGCCCGCCUUUUAUGUGUAACCCCCCUCAUGUGACUCGGACCAACCAACUCUAAAGUUUUAGUAGGCGUGAUACAUGUGUUCAUCUUAUGAUGAGCCCCUGGAACUUGGAGGUUACAAACCAAAGCAGCUGAGCCCUUUAUUAGGCAAAAGGUUGCAACUUGCAACAGACGUGGUGCUUUUCCGUCAUGGAAAUGUAGAAGCAUCUGAGCCAGGUGUUUCAAAAAAGAAAAAUGUUGGGCUUUUUCUGCUAAAGCCAAUAUAAAUGAGCAGUUUUGCACUGUCUCACCAGGCAUGAUCACAUGACACUGGACAAAGCAAAUCCAAGGUGCUUGUCUGUCGCCAACUUUAUCGCCUAUUGCAUACUGCCACGAGGAAAUACAAUUACUUGUGUUGAAAAAAUAAAAUCAUCGUUAGAAUCAUAAAUUGCGAUUGAAAUGCCAUACCAGACGUGCCAAAUCAUUUAGCAACUCACUGAAGUUAUUGAGUAGCUUAUUUUAUCUUUUCUGACUACUUCGAUUUUAUUUUAUUUUUUGGCAUGAAAUCAGCUUCCUCACUGUUGUUAUCCAUGAAUAAUUGGUCAGUUCUCUGAUUCUAGUGAUCUAGCCCCACAGACAUUUGUGUCUGGCUUCGUGUUUCAUUUGUGUGUUACUUAACAGGAGUCUCACUGAUUCGGUUUUCCACACCGCACAUAAAGCUGCAACUGAUGUUGAUAUAAAAAGAUCUUUUGUUCGGCAUGCAUAACCAAAUACUCUUUUCAAGAGACUAAAAUGCAUGUUGAUCAUGAAUAAUGUGCUGCCUUUGAUCCCUAGCAAGUGCUGACCUACUAUUUAAGAUUCGGAAUGUGUUUUUUCUCAUGAUCUUAUCCAUAAAAGAGCCACCAUUCUAAAGCAUCUGGAUUCACUAGUGCGGACUGCCUGGCUGCCGGCAAUGUCUUGGUCCUUUGCCAAAACUAAGUUUACAAUUGCAACUUUCAUUUUGAAAAUAAUUGUUUUAUUUUAUAUUCCAGUAAAAUUGCUUGACUGGGGGGAGGAUGGUCAUAGAUCAGAACAAGAAAUUACUGCACUAAGAUCAGCAUUCGCACAAGAGGUUGCUGUCUGGCAUAAGCUUGAUCAUCCAAACGUUACUAAGGUAAGCUUUGGCUGAAGAAAUCCUUUUUCCGCCCGUUCAAAUUUCAUAGGUUAAAGCUUGCUGAUAGAAUAUACAUCAAAUCCCAAUUUAUAUUUAUGUUUGUUUCAUAAAACAGUUAUGUGGGUGAAAGACUGAAACUGUUCUCCACUAUUUUCCAUCAUAACCACAUGGGCAAAGUUGACUUUUACUUUCAGCAAUAUAUGGAGUUAUGUGAUCAGUUAUCCCUUUGAUUUCACUUAUGUUUCCAUGGCUAGAUAUCUGCCAUCAUCUUUCGUACUUCUAAAGUUUGAACUUUGAAGUUGGUGGUGAGUCCUGUACUUCCACUCUUACACGUAGGAGCUAUUGCAAAAAGGCAGAAAUGAGAAAUAAGGGAGAUGAGACUCACUCAAGACCCUUGAGUUCUAUAGAGUAUUCUAGCUUCCUCUGCCCAACUGUUGAAUACCAAUACACUGACAUAGUGAAGCAGAUGAUGUUACGUAUUCUAAUACAAUGUAAUUAGCUCUUCUGCUACCUUUCGCCCCCAAUUGCCAUCCUCAUGAGUCAUGACAUCUCUCCUCCCCCAUACCCAUCCUCCUGCAUUUAAAAUUCAAAAUUGUAUCCCGCUUCAUAUCUUGUAGUGGCUCUUCUGCGAGCUGUUAUGUCAUUAUCUGGGUUAUGCAAACUUAUGUCAUUACCUGGUUGAACUCAUUUAACAAAUUAUGUUAUCGCCUCUUUGUGGUUCUGCAGCAACGAACGGGCACUGUGCUAGCAAGGACAUUGCUAUCUUAUGCUCUCGGUUGUCAUGAGUCAUGACUUAAUUCUUUUUAAUGGAGGUUUACAUACUUUUUAUCUUUCAGAUAAAUGAAUUAUUAAGGUAUUUUAUGUAUGUGACCCCUGACACAGUACAUUAGAAACUUGUAUAAUCCGAACAUUUUGACGUUUUCAAUAGUAGGGCAAAAAUUGAUUACGAGUUGACGGGCCCCUGUUUGGUGUAUCAUAUGCUACCAUGAAAAUGGUAAAAGAGUCUAUCAAGCAAUCGAUCAGAGGCUCUAAUUCUGUAACCUAUCCAACCCAUUGUGGAUUACAAUAAGUUACUGUUUUUUAUCUAUUCCUUUUGUGAAUGUAGAUUUAUUCUACAGCCCAACUGGCUGUCCUAACAAUAUCUUGAACUUCAACUGACAGUUUAUUGGGGCUAUAAUGGGUGCAAGAGAUCUGAAUGUACAGACAGAACAUGGGCAUCUUGGGAUGCCGAGUAAUAUUUGCUGCGUUGUGGUUGAGUACCUUGCUGGUGGUGCACUGAAAAAUUUCCUGAUAAAGAACAGGAGAAGGAAGUUAGCGUUUAAAGUUGUGGUCCAACUAGCUCUUGACCUUGCUAGGGGGUACGUACUAGUUUUUUUUUUUUUGUCUUUUCCUGCAAAGUUCUUCUAUACCACCCCUUCAGUUUCCGAAGAUCUGACUGACCUUUGAAUUCAAUAGAUUGAGCUAUCUUCAUUCCGAGAAGAUAGUGCAUCGUGAUGUCAAGACUGAAAACAUGCUUCUGGACAAAACAAGGACAGUGAAAAUUGCUGAUUUUGGUGUUGCUCGAGUUGAGGCUUCAAAUCCUAGUGAUAUGACAGGUGAAACAGGCACACUUGGUUACAUGGCACCUGAGGUAUAUUUGAUCUUAAACUGCCUAAAGAUAUUAUCAUAUUCCUCUGUCACCUACCAUGUGCUGCUACUAGGUUUCAAUUAGAUUCAGACCAAACUACCAAGUUUGGAGAGCUCAAGUUGCAAUAUUAUCUCCCAUGUCCAUUCCAUAUCUUUUUCAUAUUUCAUAUUUUGGACCGAGCGUGAUUUUUAAAGCUGUGCCUACCCAUUGGCACAACUGCAUCACCACCACCACACCUGAUUGAAGUUGUGUACUCUAGGUAUCCUCAUUGACUUAAAAUGGCAUCACGCAGGUUCUCAAUGGUCAUCCUUACAACAGGAAAUGUGAUGUUUACAGCUUUGGAAUCUGUUUAUGGGAGAUAUACUGCUGCGACAUGCCAUAUCCUGAUCUGAGCUUCUCAGAAGUAACUUCUGCUGUCGUUCGCCAGGUAAGAGAAGCUACUCCUGUCCUAUUUUAUUCUCGCAUUGCUGGGCUCUUGUUUCUGCAGUCCGACACUGAAAACACAAAAUACAGAACUUGAGGCCUGAGAUACCGCGCUGUUGUCCAAGCGCUUUGGCGAACGUGAUGAAGCGCUGCUGGGAUGCCAACCCCGACAAGCGGCCGGAGAUGGCCGAAGUGGUGUCCUUGAUAGAGGCGAUCGACACGUCCAAGGGCGGCGGCAUGGUCCCAAUAGAUCAGUCGCAGGGAUGCUUCAACUGCUUCCGUCAGCACCGAGGCCCCUGACGCUGACACUUUGAUUUUGAUCUCAUGGCUCUGCCCGAUCAAUCCAUCUCGCUAGAUCUCAGUGUAAUCUAAUCACACCGUCGUGGUAAAUGGAGAAGUUCUAUGAUGUAAAUGCCUGCUUCAUCUCAUCCUUGUAUGCUUUUCUGCUAAUCCUAAUGCUUGAAAUGCGGUAGGAUCAAGCUUCAGAGUUUAGUGUAAGUCUGCCAGGGCUGUUCACGGGUUUUACAGUCUCAUGCUCAUGAUGUGGACUUCUCAUUGUACUAUUGCAGUUUAUGUCUUUACAGAAUGUGAAUAAAGAACAUAAUUCAAGAUGUAUUGUUGUAGCACUCGGAUUUCAUUCGAACCGAGCUCAAGGAUAGCAAGAUUCAUAGAAACAUUUUUAUGUGCGUGCUUGGAAAGGAAGAUUUUAUUUCCAAGCUGCAAAAUUAUUUGUGAUUUGUGAAAUUUCUGCAGUGUAAACGGCCAAAGUGUUUUUUAGAAAGAUAGGGCUUUUGCCCCUGUUCCAUUCAUAUGAACGAAACAGAACAAAAUAUAUGUCUCAACACUUUUUUUUCAACGAGCUUUUGGCCACACACAGGCCCUAAUGCUAUCGCUAAACAACGAGUAGUUCCAGCGCCUCUAACCAGGCAAUUACAACUUUCAGCAUGAGAACUGGACAAAAUGGCAGCAAAGUUAGCGUCAAGUGCUUGAUCUUCACGGGGAGGAGUCUUGGAGGGACAUCGACAUGAUACCUUGGCAGGCGUUGAGUGUCAGCAUCGAGACCGCCCUUCUCUUCUUCAUCUCAGGCAAAGCCUUGGGAUCUCCACCGACUUGUCCUCCAACCGUCGAAGCAUAUGUGCUAGAACGUUUUGAUUUGCGUUUGAACAGAGAGACUUCCAUGAGCGUAGGUGUCGCAGGACCAUUCGCCAGAUCACUUGCAUCGAAGACCAUGCAGAGGAACGAAAAAAGAUAUUAUUACAACAUUUCCAUAAUGACAAAGAACAGUUGCAGUAGUCAUAUUAAGUACUUCAUUUUUCCUAUUUCCCACCUAGAAAUGUGCAAUUUGUUCUAGGCUAGAGCCCAGAUUUUUCCCCAACAGUAAACUCAUGAAUUCCCAAAUAAGUGUAGCCACAAUACAGUCAAAGAAUAGAUGUUGUAUAGUUUCAGGUUCAGAACAGAACAUGCAGGUAAGAUCAUUCACAUGUUGUCUCUUGUGCAAAUUAUCUCUAGUCAGGAUCCUGUUAUGGCUAACCAACCAGAGGAAAGUGUGAAUCUUGGGGGGCAAAUGCAGUUUCCAAAUAGUUUGCACAAAUACAGGUGUGAUCCCUCUAAAGUUAACCACAACAUAUAAAGAACUAGUGGUUUAUACACCUUUAUUGUUCAAUUUCCAUACUAGCUGGUCUGGAUCAUUAGAAAUGGAAGCAGAGGAUAUUAAAACAACCGGAUCAUGCCAAAGUUGAAUAAGAUGUGGUGAGAAACCUCUCCUAAAGGAGAGUUUAAGUUCAGAACCAUCCCAGACAUCAGCUACAGAUUUGUGGUGUUCAUUACAAAUGAAGUAAAUUUCCAAGAACUGGAUAGCCAAGCUAGAGCUUCCUAUCCAUUGAUCUUCCCAGAACUUAACAUUUUUCCCAUUGCCAAUUUUCCAAAAAUAUCAUAGUUUUGCUGCAUGGGAGGCCCAAAGAACACCUUUCCAGAAAGGGGAGGAAAAUGCAUCGGAACAAGCAAACAUAUUGGGAGAACUAGUGUCAGAUUUGAUGUCAAUAAUCUGUCUCCACAACUUAUUUGUGUCAAGGUGGUACCUCUUAAUCCAAUUAGCCAACAAGCAAACAUUAAGGUCCCUUAGAUUGGGGAUGCCAAGGCCCCCAAACUCAUUUUUCAAAGUAACUAAUUCCCAAUUUGCCAGAUGAUAUUUGACAUGCCCUUCAUAAUUGUCCCAGAAACAGUGAGCCAUCUGAGAGUUAAUUUCACUGAUGGCCCAUUUAGGGAAUUUGAUUAUAGAUAGAAGGUAAAUAAGAAUACUAGCCAAGCAGGAUUUGAUCAAGGUAAGCCUGCCUCCAUAAGAAAGAAGUCUCCCUCUCCACCCAGCUGCUCUUUUAAUAACUUUGUCUAGAACAGGUUGCAGAUCUUCUUUCUUUAAUUUGCAGAAAUGAGAGGAAUCCCUAAGUAUUUCAUGGGCCAUUGUGCUAGUUUGCAACCUAGUGUUUGAGCAAAAGGUCUAAUUUGCUCAUCUUCUAGGUUCAGGGAAUAAAGAUCACUCUUAUGAAAAUUAAUCCUCAUUCCAGACAUUUGCUCAAAAAGUGAGAGGAACCACUUAAGAUUUCUAGCUUUAGAGAGAUCAUUAUCAACAAAAAGGAGGGUGUCAUCUGCAUAUUGUAGACUCACCACACCUCCCUUAUGUGCAGAUGGCGUCAUGCCAGAAAUGAGAUUGAGAGAUGCAGCCUUGGAAAAGAUUUUUGUGAAAACAUCUGCAACAAUGUUGAACAAAAUGGGGGAAAGUGGAUCUCCCUGUCUGAGUCCCCUACUGGUAGAGAAGAAAGGACCAUCAACAUCAUUUAAUCUGAUCCCAAUGGAUCCUCUAAAGAGGAUAUUGUCCAUCCAGGAUAUCCACUUGGGGCAAAAUCCCCUUUGUUGAAGGAUGGUUCUAAGGAACCCAACAUCAACACUAUCAUAAGCUUUUUCAUAGUCUAGUUUAAGCACCAGACCUGGGGUCUUAUUAAGGUGGUUGUCAUGAAUAAUUUCAUGAGCAGCUACCACACUCUCCAAGAUAUAUCUUCCCUUCAGGAAGGCAGUCUGGUUGGGGCUAAUAAUUCUGUUUGCACAGGCACUAAGCCUAGUAGUACAAGCCUUUGAGAAGAUCUUGAAGCUACAGUUAGUAAGAGCAAUUGGUCUGUAUUUUUUGAUACUUGUAGCAUCAGCCUCUUUGGGAAUAAGGGUACUCAUAGCAAAGUUGAGUCUAUAAAGGUCCAAGGUGCUAGAGCAGAAUUUCGAAACUAAAGACAUUACAUCUGUUUUAAUGGUUUCCAAAUUUUUUGAUAGAAUAGGAAGAGGAAACCAUCAGGGCCAGGAUCUCCCUCAGCAUAAGAGCUGAAAACAGUUGCCCUAAUUUCUUCUUCAGAGAAGUCAUGAGUUAGUAGAUCAUUUUCUUUGGAAGAAACCAAAUCAGCAUCAUCCCAGAAAUCAUGAGAAAGGGAGAUAUCUAAAUAAGGUUAAGAGCAAAACAGAGAUUUGUAGUAAGCUACAGCAAUCUCCAUCAUACCCUUGUUAUCAGCGACAGGUCCAUUUCCCCCCUCUAGAGAGAGGAUCAUUUUCUUACUUAGUGUUCCUGUCUCCUUCAAGAAUGUCUUUUUCCCUGGAUCUCUGCCUAGCCUUAAUUUCCUCUCUAUACCAGAGAAGAUUGAGUUCAUUUCUAAUAUCUUUCAUACAUUGGUGUUCUUCAGGAAGGAGGGUUCGAGUUUCAGACAUAAUGUCAAGGCAAGUAUACUCAACAUUAAGAGUUUGCUUAAGCUUUUUAUGGCCAGCUUCAGCAUUAGAGUUCCAACCUCUAAGGAGCUUCCCGAGUCUCCUGAUCUUAAAUCGCCAGAUUUCUAAUGGGUCAGAACAGGGGCAAGGAAGAUUCCAAUUUGUGAUGACCAUUUGUUUGAAAUUUUCCAGUUCCAACCUCCAUUUUUUAAAUCUAAAUGGUCUUUUGGGAGGAGGAGUGUUAUAGCCAAAAUCAAGAAUCAACGGGGUAUGAUCACUGAUAUCUCUGGAUAAAGCAGAGAUAGAGGAAAGGGGGAAAUGUGUUUCCCAACAGGUAGUAACAAAUACUCUAUCAAUAGCAGCCAUAAUGGUAUCCUCUUGAUUGUUCCCCCAAGUGAAUUUUCGAUUAGCCAAUUUAAUCUCCAUCAGGCCAUGUCCAUUGAUCUAAUCAUUAAACUUAGCAGCCCAGCCUUGAUGGAUAUUGCCAUUAUUCUUGUCUGAGGUAAACCUCACCAAAUUAAAGUCACCUCCCACUACAGUGGGCAAUGCAUUAUGGCAGAAUAAUUACAAGAGAAAUAACCCGUAAAGACAUUAUUUUUGGUUCGUAGAGACACUAUAGUUGUCUCUACAUAACUUUAGACACACUUGGUACAAUGCCACAAAACUGUCACUACGGGCAGUGUCGCUAUGUGUGAUGAGACACUAAUAAAACUUCUCUACUGUUUUAGACAUUGCAUAGAGACACUAUACCAUCUCUACGUUCAAUACGACAUUUCGUAAAGACAUUGUAUUGUGUCUUUAUACUUGACACUAUAUUGUCUCUACAUUCAAUGCGACAUUUUGUAAAGACAUUAAAUUGUGUCUCUAUACUCAUGUGCUAAAAAAUAUACAUUGAAAAAAUCAUGUUGAAACCAAUCCUCGAACUCAAGACCUUAAGGAAAACUACACACUCACCUAACCAUCUCAACCUGAUACCAAUUCUUGCGUAUACUUCUAAUGAAAUUAUUAUGAGUAGUCUGCUGCAUGCUUCAAACUUGCUAAGAAUGUCUCUACACAUCAUAAAAUGUGUCUCAAAUAGUGUUUCUAACCAUACUGUAAGGUCAUUUCAUCAAGUAUCUCAAAACCAUGUCUCUACAUGAGUGUUGUGACAAUCUAUUAAAUGCCUAAAAAAUGUCUCUACACCAUAAUGUCUCAACUUGUGUCUCUAUAUUUAAGACAUUAUCCAUAGCACCUCAUAGACUGCCUACAUGAAACUAUGUCUCAAAAUUAUUUCUAGGUAGAGACAAAGAGUAUAUUGCCUCAACGAAAAUGUCUCUACAAGACAAGUCGGGGGAGGUGGUGUGACGAGAGGAAGAAAAGGAAAAAAAAUGUGCCAUUGAUAUGUGGGAUCUAUCAGAAAAUACAGGGAAAUCCAAAAUCUGCUGAUGUUUGGUGCUCGUCAAAAAAGACCAAAGAGAAAAAGUUUUAAUGCAUAUUUUCAAGUGUGCAAUUUAUUUUUGUUGUCAUUUUGUUGUCCCGUUGCAACGCACGGGCAUUUCGGCUAGUUCUAUAAAAAAAGAUUCCCAUGUCACUGCCAGUCUGUAACUGCAGUAGAUAAUCAAGAGUUUUUCCUUUAUCCCUUUUCUGAUUUUUCUUUUUCAAAACAUGCAGGACAUAAUCGACCAGGCAGGAAGCAAAAUCAGAAGUCACAGCUGCACUGCCUUCUACCUAAAAUUAGUUCUAGCACUGCUUGAAUAAAACUAGCUAAGUACCGGUGCGCUGCAACGGAGACACAAAUAUUUCAAUGAUUCAUGUCUCAAAUAUAGAUUACGCAUGUCCAUUGACCCAUCGAUUUUUUUUUCCAAAACCUAAUUAACAAACCGUGGAACUUACCUUAAUUUGUGAAAUUUACAUUGCAUAUGGGUUAAUUUUCUCAAAUAUAAAUUACGCAUUAUUUUUUUAAUUUGUGAAACUUAUUUUGCUAUGGGUUUAAUUUGUGAAACUUACUUUUCUAUGAGCUUAAUUUGUGAAACUUACCUUGGGUACUCGCCUGGACGGUUUUUCUGGACGCAGGAUGUGAAGCGGACGACAUACGAAAAAGUGUGUUAAUCAGGGACGUACAAACUGAGGCUUACGGAAUAGUAAAUAUAAAGAUUACUUGGUCACCAUAUCGAUCACUUGCAGAUUUCUUACUAAUACUGUAUCAUGGUUGUCCACAUGUAUGCAUCUAUCCAAGUGAAUAAAACCUCUGCACUUUCUUCUCAGUUUCAGCUUGCUUUCGUACCAUGUCAAAUCCUUCGUACUCCCUCCGUCCAACAAAAGAUGUCUCAAGUUUGUCAAAAUUUGGAUGUAUCUAGACAUGACUUAGUGUAUAGAUGCAUUCAAAUUUGGUCAGACAUUGGACGGAAGGAGUAUGAUAUUUGUGUCUCUGGAAAUAUUUGAUAUCUAUAUUCGUCAACCUAAUACCAAAACCUGCAAGUGCAAUCAACAAUUACUCUCUUCUCUGCAGAUUAUGUCCAGUCCUAUAACAUACCAAUUACUUCAAGUUAUCUUAAAGAUCUUUAUGCUGGUCACUUCAGGCACAAGACAUAGCCAGACAUCACGAGCAUGCUUCCAUCUGAUCCGCCAUUCUUCACAAUUCAGUACAUCAAAAAAUGGAAAAAGACAUGCCACUGCCAUCGUUCCUGGUGACAAAAAAUAGCAAAUUUCAGAUAGUAGUUUCCAAUAAAUAAACAUAUAUUUCUAUGAAUUAUUUUUAGCAUUUUACAAUAUAUUUGCUUUGUUAUAAUUCAGUACAAAAUUCCGCAGCAACGCGUGAGGUACUAUCUAGUUUUGGAAACACGCCUGCUGCAGUUGAGGCCCUCAACAUGAUUAGUUUGGCUGACAUUGGUUCAGAUUCUUUGCUUGAUGUAUAUCUUCAAGUUAGUGAGGGUAGAACUAGCUUGGGCGUCAUCAAUUACUGUCACCGUGAUCUCCAAACGGCGGAGCGUUGUUUUUUUUUUUAGAGGGGCGGAGUUAGUAAUUAGGCUUGAGAAAAUUUAGAGCAUUUGGCCUCCCUAGAAACUGAAAACUACUCACUCCGUCCCAUAAUAUGGAUGUAUCUAUACCUAAUAAGUGUGUAGAUACAUGUAAUAAAAAGUCACUUAAUACGAGACGGAGGGAGUAUAUUUUUGCACCAAAGCUUCGUGUAAGCUCUACCACCAUCGACGUCUUGUCCUUUCCCAUGCCGUCGGCAUUCCUUUUGCUUCCUAAGAUCACCGUGGCGUCGAUGCCGUCUCCGACAGUGAGGUUCCAUAUGUCGUCGGUCACCCCGAUCGGCUUUCUCCUCGUAGACGUCCUUCUUCACCUACAUGGUGUAGCUUGUGUUGCUGCGCCGAGAAACAUAUGUGAGACCAUCGCUGAUUGAGGAGUGGUUGCCAUGGCCGUCCAACACCACCACUAUAUCCGCAUGAUCGGCCCAAGUAAAUACACACUAAUUUACAAAAUGGGUGAGGAGAAAUCAAUAUAUCGAUCCAAUAUCACAUGAAGUAGCUAGCUCGAAACUUGAACCGAUUGAUCAGAGGCCCGGGUGUAAUCCACUACCGUAGCUGGCAGGCAGUCACUCAUCGCUUUGGAUGAAGCGUCGAACGGUGAACUGCUCGGCCUCUACUGCUUUUGCGACCAGAUGGACGCCUCCCCACUCCUUCGUGUCCGACCCAGGCCCAACAUUUUUAUGGUCCAGUUCUUUUCGGUUUCCUGGACCAGCUUCUCUGAGAAGUUUCCCUUCCCCAAAUUUUUGGAAAAACCGACACCUAAAUUUGAUUAGGCUUCCAAACUAGCUUGAUCUAAGCUACUUCGGAAGUGUAGCUAAAUUUAGGAUGCGGCUUCUCCAGAAAGCUGGGGGAGGACAGCUUCUCCAGAAGCCGAGUUUAGAAGCCAAAAAGAACGCAUCCUAUAUUCGCCCUAGAAAAGCUUAUUGACAUCGGGUUGUCGUUCCACUUGAACAAUCCCUUGGGAGUUACAAUCAUGGACAUGUCACAUUCCAUAAAUACCAUUCGCGCCUGUGGCCUCCACGGACGGCCGAGGUAGGUGUCAACGCCGGCGACGUCGUUGGACGAGAUGACAUUGCAGAAUUGUAACACACAACCGUUUGCAUCCUUUGCCAUCAUGUUACUUUGCCCGUGAGGGACAGCCCGCCGACGAUUUCACACCUUUGGAAGACAGUCGUCGCAAUGCGGAAGAUGAAAUCCACGGUGCCUUCGAUGCGGCAGUCUAGGUAGAAUUGCUUGUUAUUUUAGGGUACAAAAGGUGUCGGCAGUUGAAGUUAGAGGGACGCUGCCCCCCGGCCUCAAUGUUGAAGCCAGCCUCGCUUAUUUUCGGACGAGGGAGUAUUUUUUUAGAUGAACGGCCAAAAUUUGUCGAGGCAAAUGGCUGGUGUGGAGAGCGAACGAUUUGUCUAAUACGGACGGCUGGAUGAUCACGAGGGGUGCGGCACGUACGAGACGAUGGGCGUUCGAUUCCACGUCUGUUGUUGCGCACCUACCCACAAACCCCGCCUGCCCUGUUCCACAGAAGCAGGGAGAGGCGAGGAAAGGACACACCAGCAGAAGAGGAAGAGGAAGGCAAGGCAAAGCCGCCGCCGCCGCUGCGCCUCUCUCAUUGAUCCCUAGCCUUCCGCUCCCCACCACAAGCGACAACCCAACGGCUCCGAGCGUCGUUCCGCUCUCCCUCCGAUGGCCGUGAGCUCGCGGCUGCCCGCCCCUCCCGCGCGCGGUCUCCUCCGCCGCUCGCCGCCGCGUAUCCUCCCUGUCGAGCGCGCGCCGCGACGCCUCGCGCCUGGGCUCUGCGCCGUCUCCGGGAGUCCUGGAACCGGCGGAUCGCCCGUGCCCAGGCGUCCGCCGGCACCGGCAGACGCCGCGGCGGCUUCGCCACCCUCGCCGGCGCCCUCCCCGGCUUCGUCGGCCUCCUCGGCCAUAGAUUUCCUCACCCUCUGCCAUAGCCUCAAGGUACACAACGCGGAUGCUCGCUCGUAGUUGAUCUCCAUUUAAUACGUCCCAUGCGAUGCGAAGGAGUGCAAAGAUAUACAAUUUCGCUAUAGAGAAUGGAUAUGUUGAAACGGUGGAUCAUUGAAAAGUCUCAAGUAUGGGCGCCCAGCUAACAACUUCAUUAUGUGGUGUAUGAACAUGGAUUUGGUUUGAGUUUUCAUGACUUCAUGCCUAUCAUAUCACAUGAUUCUGACGCUUAUUGCAUUGUUCCCUCGUUCUUGUUCUAUGCCACAGACCACUAAAAGGAAAGGGUGGAUAAAUCAUAGCAUAAAAGGUCCCGAAUCUAUUGCUGACCACAUGUAUCGUAUGGCCCUGAUGGCUUUGAUAGCUGAUGACCUACCUGCUGUAAAUCGAGAAAGGUUAGCUUCUCUCAUCGUACAAAGUGCCUAUUUUUCUCAGUUAUUUCCUUUUAAGAUUCACAUUGGAAGAGUAUCAAUUUUAGGCUUCCUUCCCAUCAAUAAUGAACCGCACAUUUUUCUUGAAACAGGUGUAUCAAAAUAGCCAUCGUUCAUGACAUUGCUGAAGGUAGGCCAAAAAACGUACUAUUACUUACGGAUGUUUUUACCUAGAUGCCUGCUAUGUGCACUUAUUGGUUAUGUGUGCUGGAUCCUGUCGGCUCUGUAUUGUUGUCAUGUCGGGCUCUGUAUCCACUCUUUUCUUAGCAUCUCAGUUUUCAUCCAAGCACUAUUUGACAAUACCCACUUUAUUUUAUUAACAGCUAUUGUUGGCGACAUCACUCCGUCUGACGGCAUACCUAAAGCAGAAAAAAGUAGGCGUGAACAAGAAGCUCUAGAUGAAAUGUGUGAAGUUCUUGGUGGUGGACCAACAGGUAUUUCUCCAUUGUGGACAUGGAAUUUCUGUUCAUUAAGGAAUGUUCAAUAACAAUUUGUUACCAUCACUGCAAUUUGCUAUUUUUUAGCUGAGGAGAUUAAGGCGCUGUGGGAAGAAUACGAAAAUAACUCUUCUGUUGAAGCCAAUCUUGUAAAGGAUUUUGAUAAAGUAAGCAUGAUGUUACUUUGAACAUCUUUCCACUUUUUCUAAUGUAUAUUGAUUUGAUUUGACUUGCAUGUUGUCUAAUUUCUAGUAUAUAUCAGGGUUAUCAUUUUUUAUUGAUACAAGUUUUCUUAGUUUGGACACAAUACAAAAUAUUUUCAAGUUUGGUGGAGAAUGCACUACUCAUGAACUUGUUACUACUUCUUACACAAACACUUAUAUAUAAACUGGUUAUUCAUUGUGUUUUUUCUCUGAGCUUGCAUUGACAUUGAAAUAAGUAUACAAAGAUUUUGUUCUUUAUGAUGAAUAGCCUAUUGGCUGAGUCACAGCUUAAAUCGUUCAGUAGGUCCUAAGGAGUGCACAAUCUUACCUCUUGGAUUUCUUAGAGAUAUGCCAAGUUCUAAGACUUUGAAGCAUAUAAGUUCAUAGAUAUUAAUAUUAUUGUUGCAUAAACGGUGUUUCAUGCAAUGUAUUGUUCAUAUGUCUUAUUAUGGUUUACUCUGUUCUACAUUUCUUUUUCCUAUGUACUGUUUGGUUCAGUGGAUUUCACCUGUUCCGUAUUUAUUUUUGUUUCAGGUGGAAAUGAUCCUUCAAGCAUUGGAAUAUGAGAAAGGUAUUAACCUUUUGUUGUAUUUGAUUUUCAUGCAUACAAACAAUGAACUGCUUAGUCAUUUCAAAUAGUUGUCCUGUAUGAUGCCUAGUGUAAAUUGGCUCUUUAGUCUGAAACGACCUGCAUGAGGAAUAACAUGCAUCAAAAUCAUCAUGUUCUCACUACACCUUUUGUAAUCCUCUGCUACUGCUAAUAGUAAUGCCUAGCAAAACUAAUAUAUACCUGGUUUUGGAAAGCUCAUACUUUGGAAUUGGUUGCUAAUAACAUCAAACUACUUGCUUCAUGCUACCUUUUUUUUUGCUUCAGGCACCGGCACCAUGCAAUGAAUCAUUCUUACUUUCCUACCUGCAUAUGUUGCCAUCUUUCUCUCCUGUACAUAUGUGAUGUGCUAAUCCAUUUAUGCUGACUCUCCAUCUUGAAAAUUUGCAGAGCAUGGCAAAGUGCUAGAUGAGUUCUUUCUCUCAACUGCUGGUAGUGUGAUUAAUCAUUGUUGCAAUUGCCAUUGAAGGCACACAAAAAUGUAGGUUCUCCUUUUGUUAAAUAAUACUUUUUAAACAUGCUAUUACAGGGAAGUUCCAAACAGAGAUUGGCAAGAGCUGGGCUGCUGAAGUGAAUUCGAGGAGAACCAAGGGAUGCGGACAGUAGUACGGGCGCUUCAUGUUUGAUUUCUUUACACAGCUUCUACUGAAAUUUCCUGACAUGGCUGGUGUGAUGAAUCGCAGACCUCCAGAUUCAAGUCAACUUCAAGGCAAUCUUAACCUAUUGCCGCAGAUACCAAAGGUUGGCAGGCAAUAACGGGCAGAGCAUUGACGAAAACUCUUCGAUCUAGGUUUGGUUAGAGAGCUCAGUGGGCUGAAAUUUUUACUGAGAAUAGUACGUUCUGAACAUUAUUAUGUAUACUGGUAAGGGAUCCAGGGAAGACAUGCCUUUUGUUCACUGGCGCAAUAAAGAGGAUUAACGCCCUUCAGUCUAAGGGUGAUCUCUCUUGCAGCUCUCUGCCAUGUCACUCUAAUUUUUUGUUUGAUAUUUGAUGCUGCGAAAGUUAGGCAAGGAAUCAUCAAUCAUGAUGAUUAAGUUGCAACGGAAAUGCACAAUUAGCAGAAGAUUUUUUUAAAGCAUUAGCAGAAGAUUCUUAAUCUUCAAUCUUCACUAGUCGUUAGAGAAAUGUGUUUUUGACUCUCUUGCUGGUCUCACACAUUGUUAGAUAGCAAUCGUUAGUCAUUACAGUUACCCUUUUGGGGUUGCUAAUUUAAGGAUAGUGCGGCCUAUCUUCUAGAUAAACCCCUGGAAGCUUCUUCCCUCACGCUCACAGUAACAUUAGCGCCACCUGCUGCAUUUUGAUCAGGCGACACAUUUCAACAAAUUUAGUAAGCUUCUAACUUCGUAACACAAAACUUUCUACAAGAACAUGAUAAACUUUCGACCAACCUACUGAAGAUUCAUUUUCUUCAUAACCAAGCUUCCCACAAUAUAUUCAAACUUUCUGCUGGACCGCAUGAGCUUCCAGUUUCUUCAAAUCAAGCUUUCCCCCAAGAACAAAUCAGCUUUCUACUGAAACACGUGAAGCUUUCAACAUCUCAAACAGCGACAUGGAAUUCUUAUCCAGUAAAAACAAAUAUUGAAGUGUUGAAAGAGAGAAUUCUGACCCCUUUUUUUGUUUUAUAGAUGAUGAAAACACCCCAAGAAUAAUCAACUCUUGCGGGGUUGAUGAAUCCUAAGAGCAUCUAUAACGUGCAUCAAAAUUGCAAAUCUACACAUUUAGACCUCUUCUUGCACGGCAAAGUUUGGACUGUUCGAACAGUCUAAACAUUGUGGUUGCCUAUGAGGCUAUGACGGCAAGUAAUUAAUUGUGCUUCUGAUUUCGGAAUUAGUACCUCGAUGUUGAUCAACUUCUAUGUCAGUAGCUGUCCAGAUUUGUUGGCCAGGUAAAUUUUGGGUUCCACAAAGUUCCAAGCCUACAGGCCCAAGUAUGAGUCUCAUUUCUACCAUAACUUCAAACAUGUCAGAAAAUAAAUCUUAUCUUUCGCAUCUCUCGGAGAAAGAGUUAAAAUGAGUUGCUUUCUGGAACUUAUCCUGUUUCCUGUAGUCAGAUGAGACCUUCAGGAUGGGCUUGGCCAUGAGAGUCUCUAUCCAAGCUUCCAACUUCUGCUAGCCUGUACUCGUUUUUCCGAUUGAACUAUGUCUUACUUCAUUUCUUAUAAUAGAAAUUGGAGGGUUGUAUGUUGUACUCUCUUCUUCAAAAACCAAAAGGGAUUCCACAAGAGGUGAACACAGGAUUCGGUUAAACAAUAGAAAUCACUUCCCAAUUUUCACUUCAUGGCAAACAGAUCACAGCCUGAGAUCUUGACUAAGUUCUACAAUCACGGGCAAAGUUCCAGGAGUUCCUGAUCACUAACUAAAAAUUAUCAUCAGCUCAAUGUCACAAAAAAGGAGUUAUAACAGGUCACUCACAAAAGCUCCCCUUGCUAAACAAAGAUUAUCGUUGGGUUAAACUGUAAAACAUCACCAAAAACAUUUAUAUUCCUUUAAAUGGUGUUGGAGCCAUAACCAUCCUACCUGAACCACCAUCUUAUGCCAGCGUUUAUUGGGUCAUGAAGAAAAGGGGUGUAACUGUGGAUGUAGGGGUUAACUGUUCGGCCAAUUUUAAGCCAGAUAGCUCUGUGGUAACCAGCAGUGAAAGGAGAGUGAUACAUGAGCUUCAGCAACUGCAAUGCCAGAUAACCAGAGUGAGAUUGGAAUAUGCUGAGACGUUGUCUCUAUUGAUACAUAGUAGUAAUAACGUCGAUAGUCACAGAUAAAAGCAACAGAUCACGCAAAUUCAUAGUUGUCCUUAAACAAACAAGUGUUACUUGGACUAAGCAAACAAACACUGAUGCUUCUUGAAACUAGCAAAUGUGCAUGUGCAAAUGUGCGACUUGGACUAAGCAAACAAACACUACAAUGCUUCUUGAAACUAGCAAAUGUGCACGGCAAACGCGCGUUCUCCAGCAUAUAAAAUAGUUCUCCCAAAAUAUACUGCCAGCAGAUUUCAAACUCUCCUUCCCUUCGGACUAUUUUUGAACUUAGUAUUAUGUUUAAUAAUAUUAGCUAGAUAAACCGUUACAAUAUGUCAUAACAAUACAUCGUAUGUGGAUGCGAAUAAGGUUAGUAAUCAUGGUGUCAUGACUAAGGAAUAAGAGAUAGGUUCUGCAAUUCUUCAUAAUAUAAAAAUGGGUUGUGUUGUAGUAUAGGUUAGUCAUAUGGGGUUGUUAAGGAAUUAAAUGUGCAAUAUGCAUAAUUUUUAGAUAUUCAACUUAAUUCUUGAGCAAUUAGAUUAAAUUAAUAGCAAAGAUGGUUUCUGUCAAACCUUAACUCGUACUCCCUCCGUCCCAUAAUUCUUGUCUCAAAUUUGCCCAAAAAUGGAUGUAUCUAUUCCUAAAAAGCGUCUAGAUACAUGUAAUAUUUCGACAAGAACUACGGGACGGAGGGAGUACUUCUUAUAUUAGGAGGGAUAUAUAUAUUCUAAAAGGUAGCUGACAGUACCAGGUUAGCCAUGCAGAAGCAACAAUUAUUUAGACCAAAAAACAUUGUCUAGCUUUAUUAACAAGCAGGAGUUUUGCAUCCUAAGAUGCUGGGGUUACUAAUUCCUAGCUUUACAACUUGCAGAACAAAAGGCAUGUCCUUAUUGUAGGACCAACCCGGCAACUGAGCUCAACACAAUAGAAGAAGAAACGAUCGUUGCCUAGAUCCUUUUCUAAAUGAAAAUGGAAUAUAGUAGCGUUUACUCAGUUGGUGGCUUGGUGCAGCCAUUGGAGCAUUUGCUUUGCUGCUCUCUUGAGAUUACUGAGAGCCAUCAAGCCAUUGGAGAUUAUAUUUGUCAUGCAUGCACCCAUACAUGAGCUGCUCAAAGCCCAGGCUCCAGGAGCAUAGGCAACAGGAGACAUGCCUUAGCACAAGGUAGAGCUGUUCUAUUUUAGUUAUUUCCUCUCAAUUAACAAUUGAGCCUACCCCAACUUGCUUGGGACAAAAGGCUUAGUUGUUGUUGUUGCCUCUCAAUUAACAAUUGAUUGAAUAUUUUCCUUCGUUUCAAGAACCUCAAAAGGACAGGGUUGUCCUGCUUUCAAUAAAGAAGAAUGGAAUGGCCCAUUGAUCCAAUAGUUUCCUGUUGUUAGGAUUUCAUGUAAUCCGUCUCUCCUGUAUAGAAGGACUUGCACAUGAGGAAUAACCAAACAAGAAAUAAACCAAUCUAAUCCAGAAUCUCCUUCCUUUGGGUCCUCCCUGAGCCUGAGGCAUAGCUGCGGCCAUGGCGCCACUGCCCCUCUUGAGGUCCAGGCCAGUAUAGCAGUAUCAUAGCAAGCUACCACGUCUAUACCAAUAUUGGUGUUAUGCAGGUCUUUAGGAAUGAGCUACAAAAUUAAGUGAUACUCCCUCUGUCCCAUAUUAAGUGACGAAAUAUUACAUGUAUCUAGAUGCUUUUUGAGUAUAGAUACAUCCAUAUUUGGGCAAAUUUGAGUCACUUAAUAUGAGACGGAGGGAGUACGUUUCUAGUUUGUUGUCAAAUUCAGUGAGCACUUGUUAUGGUCAAAACUUAUACGUCAAUCGGGGUCAGCCAUGACGAGGAUUGAACACUACUAUUGUGAUUUUACAGACCAUGGUGUAAUAUGUGAGAAAGUCAACAUUUCAGUUUAUAGUAAACAAGAAGUAGAUCAUUAGGAGAAGCAAAUCAAUGUUUAUUAUAAACUAACCUGCCAGUACAUGAAUGUUUGCAUAGCAUUACGUUUUUUCCUGCACAAGUAAAAAAACAGUAAGAACUUGGAAUUAAGUGGAGGAGGGGAAAUGAGAAAUUAACAAGGCUAGGAUCUACUGACGAGAACAGGGAUAAGAUCAAAAGAAAGCCCAACAAAAUCUCUGCAUUUGCACACAGAAAGUUUACUGCAGUUGUGUUUGUCUCAACCCAUGUACAAAGUGGCUCCAAGUAUGCCCUGCAAAUUAACAACAAAAUUGUUAUAAUCAUGUACCAUCAUGUUCAACAAUAAAAAUAUUGCAAGCCGUUAGGAGCAUUCAGUUCACAGAAAAUGAUCACUCUGUUUUUAUCAGCUUGUUACCAUGCAAAUUUUCAUACGAAUAAAUCAUUUAUGUUCCUUUUUCAGGUAACCAUCAGGAGUUCUGGCUAUUCAUUAAGCAGAAAAAGAACGUAUCCAGUUUAUGAGGGAGACUGGAUCACUGGACCCAAAAACCUCACGAUCAUUUCUGUUUUAUGUUUUAUAUGCAUGGAUUAGGGUUUUCUCAACUGUUCUGUUCGUAGUACCAUGGAAAGGCCAUGGAGAGCACCAUUAUGACACAUUUAGGUUGCAAACCCAGAUAGAUGGAAGUAACAACAAAAGAAGCAGACAGCAACGUAAAUGAUGAAUAGCAUGCAUUGAUAUGCAUAGUCAGCAAGACAUUUUGUUGCUACAAAUCUGUCAAGUUUAUUUACCUGUACAGAGAGGAAUUAGUAAAAUGGCGCCGUAGAAAUCUGGCCACAUGUUCGAGUGCCCAACAAAUUACCGGUACCAAAACAACUGCCAGAAAAGUGUAUCUCAUCAUGCAUACAGAAAAUGAGAUGUAUGGGUACUGGGUAGUAACACGGAAUUUCAUACAGAAGAUAAAUAAAUGAAGAUAAAUACUUCAUAUGCUUACGCUUAAAGUGUAGUUUAGACGUAACAAACAUAAGGCAGUACAUGAAUGGUAUAAAAUCCUUCGAUGAAGUUACAUGGUGACACCAGACCUGAACAGCCUGUGUGUUUCCUGCUCCGGGUAGCUGACAGGAAGGGGAAAUGGUAAUUAAUUUCUGCAAGAUGUCUAAGUGCUAAUAGUAAAAUAGCAAUUACAGUUCUCAGUUUCAUGUUACCGACCCCAUAAAGAGCAAAUAAAGCAUAACCUGUGGUACAGGUUGUGCCAAGAAGUGACAAACGAUAUCCCUUGUAUUGCAGUUGCUGGGUUGCCAGUGGAAGGAUGCCAAUCAACGCAACAAUAAGAACCUGUUGGAAAAAGAAAAACAUGUAUGAUAAAGAUAAGCGACUAUUUAUUAGCUAAAUUAUUUCGCAGAUAUCAACAAAGAAAAAACUGCCUCAUUGCUUGCUUACUGUUGUAAUAUAAUAUGAUCAAUUAAUACUGACCAUCCAUUUAUUUAUGAGGAAUUUUGAAACUAAACUCCAUUAGGAAAAAGAGGGGUUUAGAUGAAAGUAUUCUCAUGAAUGCCAGCUUGCAGGGUUGGCUAAAUUAAAAUAUCCUUGGACUAGCAGUUCAUCUGAUUGAUAUCACUUCCACAACUUAGCUGCUGUUUGACACUCUGUUCAACUAUGCUUAAACAUUGUUAUCUGGUGGAGAAGCAAAUUGAGAUGGAUCUGGCACUCCAACACAUGCAUCAAUUGAGACAAUACUAAGAUCUUCAGAAAGGAUUUGUUUCAACUACAGAAAAAUACCAUGUGAUACAGUAAUUGCUGACAAAAAAUCUAUGUUCAGACAUUUACCCAAGCAUUAACAGAAAAAUGUAACGACCGCUUAUCCAACUGCAAUGAAAGUCUGCUUCUUGCUGGUCCAGCAGAAUCAGUCCCUAUGAAAUUCAUGGAGAUCAAAUUGUCAGAUGAGAAAGGCUACAAAAUACAAAUAAGGUGUCCACUGUAGAGAGACACAACAAUAUGCUUAUUAUCACCUGGAUCAUGAGGUCUUGCAUUAUCAUUAGCUGUUGUAGAUUCCCCCUCCGAUGGCGCUGGGAGCUGAGAAGAGCUGGCUGAUGACAUUCCUUCAAAAACAAAAUCAGGAUCCUAUAACCAAACUCGGCAUAAGAAACAAACCUAAGGCCUCAUAGAACCACGGUAUGCAUAUCCAAAUAAAAAUAGACCGGGGAAAGGAGAUAGAAAAAUUAUAUUAAGCCAAUCAACAUCACAGCUUUAACAUCAAUAGCAUGUUUAAAAAGUAAGGAGGUUUGUGUAAAAUAACAUUGGAUAUCAAUGACUUGACUUGAUUGAAAGAAACUAGAUAUACAGAAAAUGUUGCCGUAAAGGUUCAUCCUAAGUUUCGUAGAGAAAAUGUGUGAUACACUGAUUUACAGUCACAUAGUCCUAAAACUAAUACUAAAACGCUACUAUAAAACUUUAAUUAAUUGACCCUGCUCACUGUUUCAUAUUGCCAUAUUUUAAUCCAUUCAUUUCCAUUUACAUUUUUCAUAAUAGUAUAUACAAUGUUCUAACUAGCACACUGACAGAAGUCACAUAGUCAAAAUGGCACGUAUCAGAAUCACUCAAACAGGCACUAACAGAGCAAAAACAGAAAUUCUACUCUCUUGCUGAAAUGUUUGAUUUCACAAAAUGACAAUAUGUUUGCUUCAACAAUAUGUUGCAAGGAUGUACAGUCAGUCAGUCACACCCAACUCCCCCCCGCAAAAAAAAAAAGUCACACCCAACUCCCAUGCAGAGCUAGUUAGCUGGACUAUCUAUAGGACACAUUUUCAACGAAUGAAAUCAAAUUGGAAAACAUUCAAUUUCAGCGGCUGCGGUUUUGUACUGGACAAUUUGAAGAGCGAGCGAGCUACAGCUAGAGUUAGCUCGGAAAAAUAUCGCUGAGGCAAGACUGCGCUGAAUUAAUUCAGCAAAAGAAAGGGACAAAUCUCAAGUUCCUUCUCCACAGGCUCAAAACCGGCCAAAGAGGAAGAGUAAAGCGCAGAGAAGUGAGAAUCUUGAGAGUCCCUGACCAAUCCCUUGAGAAAUUAGGCACGGCUUAGUAUUACAGCACUCGACCCUGCAAUUUCGGUCAAGAUUCCCCUCCCACAUCCUCAUCGUCUUCAUCUUACAACAAAACUGAAACUUUUUUGCUUCCUUCAGGCUUAUGUGGCGGGCGCGGCAGCAAGAGGUGAGGUUGUGCGCAUUGCGGGGAGACAAAUCGGGUUUGCGAAUUAGCAAAGUCAAACGAAGUACUGCUCAACUACAGAACAAGAAGUUGCAGAACACGAAGGGAGAUACUAGUAGUAAUGAGCAGCAGGGGUAAAACCUAACCUGCGUAAAAUAAUCUUGGCCCGCUUGGAAUGGAGACAAUCACUGGUUCCGAUACGACCCCGGCAAGGAGAGGGAGAGCCCUAGUACUCCUCCUCGAAUCUAAACUUGGCAAUCUCCGACGCAAAGGCGCACGCAGCAGCACAGAGACAGAGGGAGAAGACUGACUGACUUGUUUCAGUAUCGCCUCCUUUCCUUUCCGUCCUCUCUCGGCUCUGAUUUUUCUUUUUCUGACAGCAGCUCUGAUUUUUGUUUUGCAAUGCAGACCGAUUGUUAUCUCGUUAUGACGAACGCCCACUAACCCACGCGUCACCGAAAGCGACCGAGGGGCCCCGCGAUUAUGGAUUGACGGUUCAGGGGCGAGAUCGCAAAAUUGGGGGUUUCUGUGGUGGCAAGAUUCCCGGAAGCGAGAGGAUAAAACGAAGGGAAGGGAAAGUUCGGGCAGGGAGCAGCGAAAGCAACCGCACCAGAUCUAUCCGAAGGAUGCUUCUUGAGUUUUCAAUAUCUGUAGAAUACUUCCUCUGUCGUCUCGCUCAAAUUCGUUUAAAUGUAGAUUUAUUUAUACCCAAAAAAUAUUAAUAUUUUGUCGUUUAAUAUGAAAUGGGAGGGAGUAGUGUUGUCAAAUUUGCAUGAUACAUUUACGAUUUUGCUAUUGAGAAGUUGUCUGAUUUUUAGUUAGGAAUCAGUCGAGUGAUUGACCGAAUCCAACGACAGCAUGUGAGAGAUUGGAGUGUGGAGAUGACAUUCAGAUCUUAAUAUAACGGCCAUGAUACGUCGACUGCGAUUUAAAAUCAUUUGCUUAAAAAACAGACGACUGAAAAAUAGUCACACCAUAUAUUUUAAUGUGAGAGGAGACAACAUGUAAUUUUCUCACAUCUCAUUGGACAACCAACAUACAACCUAUUAAAAUAUUUGUAUGAUAAGUUGUUGGAUAUUUUAAGCAUCACACAAGAUAUUAUACAUGUCUUGACUAGUGAAACAUACCAACCCACCAACAGCUGGGUAUUCAUGAGCCACGAAAAAUGACCAACAAAACAUUAUCGCCAUUGACCUUGUGCAUAGAUAAAUGAAAGAAAAGAAAUAAAACACUAACUAAGUACUCCCUCCGUCCCAUAUUAAGUGACUUUCUAUUACACUACGUCUGGAUGUAUGUAUUCAGGCAUGGAAUUGGGAAUUGGAAUUAGACAGCCUUCAAUUCCAGCGUUUGGAUGUUUAUAGGAUUCACCCGUAGAAUUCGCCCACGAUUCCAAACGGUAUCGCGGAGACGCUCUCGCUUCACAAGUCAAUUCGGAGCUCCCUCGCUCCGUAUUGGGCAGAAUUUGGCCCCACGCUCAUCCCGCAAAGCAACUUACCGGUUCAGCCUCCCUCAAAGAAAGAAAGGAGAACAGAAAGACCCAAACCAGCGGGAGGAGGCGGGAGGUUGCCGGUGGCGCAGGUUAGUCCCAGCACGCACGCAGAGCUCCGACCGGCCCUCCUCCCAGCACGCACGCUGAGCUCCGGCGCCGCCACCUCUUCCUCGCGUCGAAGGUCCGCCACCCCCGCUCCUCCUUGCAGGCAGAAGUCCGUUGUCACCACCUCUCUCCGCGGAGAGCCUCCGUCGCCGCCUGAGCGCCCCAUCUCGCAUCAUCCCCCUGCAGAGAUCCGCCGCCGCCUGAGCCCAACGGCCGAAGACCCACCCGUGCGGCCGUGCGCCUUGCCCCAUCCCCCUCUCGCCCCCAACCUCCCUACGCAUAGAGGUUCGCCGCCGCUUGAGUUCCCCUUCUCGCCUUGGCCGCAUCCCCUUCGACCUCUCCUCCUUAUUUCCUCCCAUGGCCGGAUUCUCCUAGCCCUUUCCUCUUUCAGUCCCCUCCAAUGGAGGAGCACAAGAACCCUAAUUUUCAGUUUACUACUAAUCCCCAAUUUCUUGGGCAGAUCUUACCGUUCUAUUUCGUUAUUUUUUCAGGUUGUUCUGUGAGCUCCUCUGUCAGUCUGUCUGAUUGAUCAGUACUUCAGUAGCAUAUUGCUUCCUAGUCAUAUAAAUGGGUGAUUUCUUGGGCCAACAUGGUGGCAAUUUUUGUUGCUGAAGAUCAUCGUUCAGUUUUGUGGUUCACAUGUUGGAAUAGCAGUUUUCAUGCAUAGGAAAUUACACCACGGGUCCAUGAACUUGACAGCGAUGUUCAGUUUCAUCCAUUAACUUGAAAACUUCUAAAAUGACUCACUAAACUUGACAGCUUUACUCAUUUUAGUCCAAAUGGCCAGAUUCGGGCAAAAUUCGGUCAUGAUGGCAUGUGACGUGGGUCGGGCCGUUCGAGUAGACGCCGCCGAACCCAUCGACGGAGCCAUUCACAUGGACACCACGUAUGCCGGCCCGAAGUGGGUUCACCGGCGAGGGCAGCGUCUCCCCAUUCUAGAGAUUCGAGGGGGUUAAACAGAAAAGGUCCAUAACCAAAAAAUUGUGAAAAGCCCCCUCACACGCCGGCCAGGUCCAGUGGUCCACGACACAUGCCAGCGUGGCCGAAUUUCAUCUGAUUUUGGCCAUUUGGACUAAAAUGAACAAAGCUGCCAAGUUUAGUGAGUCAUUUGAACAGUUUCCAAGCUAAUGAAUGAAACUGAACAUUGCUGCCAAGUUCAUGGACCUGCAGUGUAAUUUCCUCUUUCAUGCAUCUAUAUUCUAUCGUGUAAUUGUUCUUCACAGUUUCCAUUUGUUUAUAAUAUAAUCAGUGGCAUCCAAGUUAUACAUUUGGGUCAUUUUCACCCCAAGUCAUUGCGGUACAGGCUCCUUUUUUCUACAUUUUUAUGUGUAUAAUUUUCAGUCCGGUUGUGAUCCAUGUAACUCUCCGAGAUGAUGAAUCAGAAUUCCUAUAAUUGUUAUAGCGUAUUUUUAUUUUGAAAGAUGUAUAGAAAAGUUAAAGCUUCAUACUAAUAUACAUGUGCAAUUCCUCACUUUGUCCAUCCAAACAUGAAUUGGAAUUGGUGCCCUCCUUGAAUCCCAUGAGCCAAUUCAAUGAGCAACCAAUGAAAUUGGAAUUAAGGUUCAAUUCAGAUUCCUUGUUGAAUUGGACUUCCAGCCCAAUUCAAUUCCUUGCUUCCCAAUAUCUACAUCCAAACAAAGCCUUACAUGUAUCUAGACACCUUUUAGGUAUAGAUACAUUCAUAUUUGGGCAAUUUGAGUCACUUAAUAUGGGACGGAGGGAGUAUAAGAAAGGUAGUUCCAAAGGGCCUUCUACGAGGAAAGCAUGAAGUCAUCUCAAAAGAAAAAGGUGGCAUGAAGAACCUCAACAAAAUUGAGGACUUGUGAUGUCAUUUUUAGCAGCAAACCCCAAUUGUGAUCCACUAGAAAGAUAUGAAAAGAAACAGAUACAAAUGACCUUACCCAUUUAAAGAGCUCGCUCGUUUCGUGGUUAGUAUUGCCCUAAAUAAUCUUAGGUAUACCACAAUUGUCAUAAAAAAUAUGACAAACAAAUAGAAAAUCACAAGGAUUGUAAGAAUUGAGUAAAUAACAUGUAGACCAAAGAAAAAAGGUGGCCAACAAAAGCAAAUAAGACAUAUCCAACGUGUUACGACACAUAUUAAAAUUAUUGUACUACGCUCUGUAAGAGCAUCUCCAAUGAGCUAUCCUAAAGAUAUCCCAAAUGUCUUAUUUAGGACAAAAGGACAUAUUGUCCCAAAAAUCAACUCCCAAUGGGCUACCCCAAACGGACAAUAUGUCAUAGAUGACCGGUCAUAUCCCACAAAGUUGCCCCAAAUUUGGGAGAGAAAUGGGUGUCCGGUUGAGCUCUUUGUCCGCCCUGGCUCACACCAAUUCCUCUUUUUUUUUCCUUUUCCCAGGCGAGCAUGCUCCCUUCGUCCAGUAUUCUCGAUUACCCCGUCGCCUCAUUGCCCUAGCCGCAGCCUCCAUGGACGGCACACGGAGGCCGCAUCCUGUUGCCUCCCCGUGCCCUAGCAGGCUAGCCGCCAUGCUCCAUCCGCAGCCAAGGCGGCCGUGGGGUUGGGGUCGAGCUUGGCGGCCGUGACCUGGACGAGCUCGAUGAUGAGACGCUUCAUGUGCAGUGUGAAGUUGCGGGCGCCGCGUAGGUCGGCAAGGACAAGUUCCAUCUUGGUGAGUUGAAAGGGAGGAGCCUACUCGUCGUCAACGGCCGCUGCGACCUAUAUGCAUCAGAGGUUGGGGUUUACAAGCCGUGGGCCAAAUUUGAAGCUAUCUUAUGUGAGACAUGGUGAUUUCUGGAGCAAUGAAGCUAGCUGGAUUGGUAGAGUUCUUAUCUAUAAUCUCUAUAAUGUUCAUCCCUACUAAAAGUCAUUUAUAUUUGCAAGCUGAACAUGCAAGGUGUCCGCAUCAUCAAAUUGAUCUCCACUAAGCACAACAUGCAAAAUGUCCACAUCAUUAAAUUGGUUCCUACUAAUUCAAAUCAUGUGCAUGCAAAAUGUCUAUAUCACCAUACAUAGCAUAUGUUGCAGCCCCACUAGCAAUACAUUUUGGUGGCCCAUUCGACGAUUCAACAUUUUAGCUCCUAAAACUUUUCAUCUUCACUUUUUUAUAAUUAAUUCACCAAUUACCCAUAUUUUCAUGAUAUGUAUGUUGAUCUUUUUAAGAAUGUUCAAUAUACAGGUUUUUGAAACUUCUCUUUUCGGUUCUCCGAAGUUUUUAUGUACAUCAAAAUUAAUCUACGUUUUGCGGCAUAUAUGUUAUGGAUGAUAAAUCCGUUUAGCCUGUGAUAUUGAUAUUGUUUUUGCAUUUGAUCAUAUUAUUAUCAUUUGUUUACUAACAUCACGUCCAUAUGUGCAAAUAGAAAUUGUCCGCCACAAAGUGCGGGGAAUCACCUAGUUGAUAAAGCAAUCCAUCCACGUAUUUACUGUAGUUCCUUCAUCUUCUUCAGGUUUAGCUGCUACUACUAUAUAUGGGAAUCUCCCCUUCUUGAUUAAUUUUUCUUUCGUCGCACCUAAUGGUGAGAAAUUUGCCUACAUUUUCAUAGUCCGUAUGAUACAUAUAAUGCAUGAUGUAGUUUUUGGCUUAAUUUGAAGUUGCAUAUUUUAACUAGUGCAUUUUUUAAGCUUCACUUCAGAUAAUGGGAUUCAGUUUAGAAAAUCAGUUUGGUUAACUAGCAGCCCGUGCAAGCUUUGGGGAGAGAAAUUUGGAGGACGUUGUUGGGUGAUGAGACGGACACAUGUCCACUUGCUUUCCCAAACGGACAAAAAUAGGACAUUUAGGAGCAAAAUUUGGGAUUUUUUUGGCAAACAGAGGGCAGCCCCCUCCGGUUUCAUUAAAGGAAACCAUGUGUCUGUUAAUACAACUUAAAUAGAUCGCAUCGAGCAACAAACCCAGAAACAAAAGCACCGAGUUAGUCUCGACCUCUUUCGUUUUGUAAAACUAGGCAGCGGCAACAACUAUUACCCUCCACACACACUCAACACCUGACACCAGCUUGGGGAAUUCAGGACGAAGUUCAUGAUCUCACGUACAGAAACCUCCACACAGACUCUGAAGCCUCAAGAUGUCAGUGGAAGAGUAACUGACACUUCAACCGUGCUUUGCCUUAGUCAAAAUCAACUCUGCAGAAGUUCCAUGGAUGUCCCAUUGAAGAUGUUCUAACCAAACUAAAAUGAGUUGCCAUGUUGCUUUGGUGUCCAAUCGGACAUGUAGUACGUUGCUCUCCUAGCAAGCUGUUGUUGUUUGCUCUUUGAUGUAAGUUAAACAUAGGUCUAUGCACGAUGGUCCGUCAGUUCAGCGUGACAUGGCAAACUCUAGUUGCCUCUUUAUAAAAGUCAGAACAGGUGCCACGGCACUUUUGGCCGCCCUGGUGGUCACAAUGAGGCUUUUCUGUACGCCUGUACACGACGCUUGGACGAAAAGGAACGGACGGAGGAAACAGCCACCAAGUCAAUGAGUCAAUACCCACUAAUCCCCUCCUUAAAGCAAAAACUGGAGCCAAACUACUCUGCAGAAAACAAUUGCAUACACCGAUCGUCAUGCACAUCGAUUGACGAAGCACCAACUCCACAUCCCAAGUUCGGAACCAACCUUGCAUUCCAACAACUCAAACCCUUGGCUAGAUCGAUCGAAACAGACAGGUUGGUCUCAGCCAAAGCUUAGCCGCCAUGGCCAUGGCAUCCCCAAACAACAAAGCGCUGGAGCGGUACAAGAGCGCCGUGACGGCGGCCGCGUCCGUCAUGGGUGCGGCCAUGCUGCUGCGCCGGGUUGUCGCCGACUUCCUCCCGGCGGGCACGUCCCUCGGCGCGCUGCUCCUCCUGCCCCCCGCCUCCGCCCGGCGCCACGCCGUGCUCAUCGAGGAAUUCGACGGCGCCCUAUACAACCGCGUCUUCCUGGCGGCCAAGGCGUACGUCUCCACGCUCCUGGCCGCGGCGCCGUCGUCCGUGCCGCUGAUGAAGGCCAGCCUGCCGCGCGGGUCCGGCGCGGACCAGCGCGUCCUGCUCGCCCUCCGCCCCGGCACGGCCGUCGUCGACGUCUUCGGCGGGGCCAAGCUCACGUGGCGCCUCAGCAGGCAGCAGGGCAGGCGCGGGGAGGACGGCGGCACGCGCGAGGCGUUCAAGCUCAGCUUCGACGCGCAGCACAAGGACAUGGUGCUCGGCGCGUACCUGCCGGCCGUCAUGGCGCGCGUCGAGGCCAUGUCGCAGGGGCAGAGGCAGCCCAGGCUCUACAGCAACGAGUGGGGCAAGUGGCGCGCCGUGAGGCUCCGCAACGCCUCCACGCUGGCCACGGUGGCCAUGGACGCCGAGCUGCGGCAGGCCGUGGUGGAGGACCUGGACAGGUUCUUGACGCGGAAGGAGUACUACCGGCAGACGGGGAGGGCGUGGAAGAGGGGGUACCUCAUCCACGGGCCGCCCGGCACCGGCAAGUCCAGCCUGGUCGCCGCGAUCUCCAACCACCUCCAUUUCGACGUGUAUGACCUGGAUGUCGGUGGCGUCAGGAACAACACCGAGCUGAGGAAACUGCUGAUUCGGAUGAAGAACAGGUCCAUAUUGCUGGUGGAGGAUGUCGACUGCGCUCUGGCGACGGCGCCGCGGAGAGAAGGGGAUGGAGGCUCCGAUGGGAGCAGCCUGGCCCCGGCUGCGUCCAAGAAUCACAAGGUUAGUUAUUACUACUAAUCCAACGCAUACUGCAAGUUAAUUACAACAGUUUAGUCGACAUGCGAAACAGUAAAGCGUCUCAUUUUGAGCACAAUCUUUUUGGAUUGCUUCUUGAAGAAGGUAAGCUUUCCAUGAGCAUGAAGGUAAUAAAGUCAUGCAAGUGAUGCAAGUGCCAACAAUCAUCAUAAGACACUUCAUAAAGAAACGUUCUGUACCGAAGCUUUUAUAAAAUCUGGCAAGUGCGCACAUGCAGUGCGUUGUGCAUACGCAUGUGCUUGCAGAUCAGAACAUUGCGCGAUCAUUUUUCUUAGGAGAACAUUGCACAAUCAGACUACUUCGUGGAGUAUAAAACUAUUUGCUUUAGUCCUUCGGAGUACAAUUUUUACAGCAUCUAAGCAGGUCACGGUCUCGCAUCCCUCGCUCAACACUAGGCACCGUCAAAACUCUGUACCUUAACUACUGUACUGUUGUUUGUCCAACAAUAGCAGUUACCACUUCAUUGCUUUUUUGGACCGUAAAGCUGGGCACGACUCAUGCUUCUUUAAUUUAACUGACCAGAUGCGAUGCUUAGCUUGUCAUCGUCAGUUCAUUCAGCUGUCGCUCACCGUAAACAUGCGCGCGAUGCCGAUGCAGGUCACUCUGUCGGGACUGCUCAACAUGGUGGACGGCCUGUGGUCCAGCAGCGGGCACGAGCGGAUCCUCGUCUUCACCACGAACCACAAGGACCGGCUGGACCCGGCGCUGCUCCGUCCGGGCCGGAUGGACAUGCACAUCCACAUGGGCUACUGCGGCUUCGUCGCCUUCAGGGAGCUCGCGGCCAACUACCACGGCGUUGACGACCACCACCCGCUCUUCCCGGAGAUCGAGGCGCUGCUGCGUGAGGUGGAGGUGGCGCCGGCCGAGGUCGCGGAGAGGCUGCUCAUGACCGACGCCGCCGACGCCGCCGUGGAGAUGGUCGCGAAGCUGCUGAGGGACAGGAAGGCCGGCACCGGGGAAGAAGACGGCGCCGGCGGGUACGUCAAGCAGAAGCUCCACGUAGGGGGGCCUCGGCGCCCGCGUCGCUUGGCCCCGGCGCCGGCGCCCCGUCGAGGCGGCGUGGGUGCUGCCAGUGCCAGGCGGCCCGUGCUUGGCGAGGAAAUGGGCGGUUCCUCGCGACGAGGACAGGGGCGUGGAUCAGGGACAGGGCGGCAUGGACGAGGACGGGGGCGGCGGUAGACAAAAGAUUCAAAACGUACUCCACUACCGAACUUGACCAACUCUGCCACGGUAAUUCGAAAAUUGUAAACCAUGGAUGUUGCGGAGUAUGGAAAAUACUACUAGUAGCAAGUAAAUAAAAGGACAUGCUGGGUUGGCCGGCCCUCGGAACACGCCCUGGUGUAUCGGCCGGCGAGGAGUACGACAGCUGCGAGCCAGCCGUGUUGUGUCACUUCCCAAAAUCACUUCGGUUGUAACGCGUGGCGCUGUCACACGUAUCACGGCCCCACGUUGCCGGACGCGGACGGCAACGGCGGUUCUCCGCCGCAGCCCAGAGCCAGCUACUCCGCGCGGGGGGCUGUCUCCGUGGACCGCAGAACAAAGGAGCCAGCUCUAGAAGAACCUGCAAAGAUUCCCCUGCGCCACAAAUCAUACGCAGUUUUUGGCACCACCCUUGUUGCGCGGUGCGGCCCUACCACGCGGCGCCCAACUCACCAACCAUUUUAGCCCAUGCACGGACUCUUGCAUCGGCGAGAGCCAUUAGGUACACUCUUUCGAGUUUAUUAGACUUAUCAUUUUAUUUUCGAAAAACAAAAGAGAUUCUGAGGUGUGAUUUCUUGUGCUGCUGAAACACUGGAGAGAAUUGCGUGAUUGGCUCACCGCAGCCUUGCGUGUAUCACUGAGCUGAGCACACAUCUUUUCGGAAGCGAUGUAUACUCUGCGCUGUGAGCACAACGCACGAUGAGGGUAAAACUUGCAAGCCUCAUGUGAGUAUGUGACGCUUUUUUUUAUUAUAAUUGAAGUCUCAUGUGAAGAACAAAUCACCAUCCGGUUA
rnacentral:lncRNA from 1 species